GGUAGCAGCAAAGGAUUCAGGCUGCUUCCGUGAUGUUUUUUCUCCCGAUUAAUUUGUAUGUUGGUUUGAUCAAGCAAUGUUAAUUCUUUUGUCCGUCGAGAUCAUGUUCUGCCGCGAAAUUGUGCUGCAGUUAAGAUGUUCACGAGGUGCAACCUCUCUUCUCCUGAAAGACUGAAAGAAAAUGGUGUUGGUGCACCGGUACCUGUUGUGUUACAAUUUGAACAGCUGCUGACGGAAAAAAGAAACCUAGCAGGAGUAUAAGUUUUGUCAUAUGGUUUGCAGUAGAAACUAUACAUUUUAAUCUGGAACAGUAGCAACUACAUAUCGUUCUGAAUAUGAAAUGCAUGAACUUUUAUAGUUCCAAGCAAACUUGGAUGUACUACUCCAGUUUACACUAGGUCAUUUAUGCUUUUGCAAUCAAUUGGAACUAUGAAGGCUCACACACAAGUCCCAUGACAAAAUUGAACGUUCAGCACCACGGCAACAGGCAUGCUUGUUAGUCCAGGGGAAGCAGCUCAAAACUCUGUGUAGACAUGAACAUAAUCAGCUCGUACAAGGACUGAAUGUUCAGACUAACACCGACUGAACAAAUCAGCUCGUACAUAUGAUUAGACUUGCAGGUCAAAUGUCUGCAGUUCAAGCACUUCUGAAGAAUCGUUCAGAUCCAUUUCGAAAGUGGUUUCGAAUACAUAUUAGUGUGCAUGCCAGAUUAGAUCAGCACUUCAGCACAACAACCUUUGACAAUAUAUAGCUCGAUGACGAUGAUUAGGAUAGAGCCUGUUCUUCUGCCGUUAUCUUUGCCGUCUGGUCAAUGCUGAAAACAAUGUUGUGAGCUCCCAGCGACUAAGUGUAGUGUCCUUCACGUCUUGGCCGGCCGAACAUGAAAACUAUAUCAGAGAAAUUGUCAGAAUCUGCUCUGCACUUCUGUUCGGAUUGGAUACCCGUUUCUAGCUCUCAAGACAGUUAGUGCAGCUCCAUGAACUUGAACUAAUUUUCAAGCCUUUUCGUUUGUCCAAAGUCCAUGUAGGAAAACAUCUUGUCCAAUCAAUGUGAUAUACUCCCUCCAUCCACGAAUAAAUGUACGUUUGACAUUCAAAAUUUAUUCACAAAAAAUGUACUUCUAUAUUUUCAAUGCACUUUAAAAUAGAAAGAAAUGCUUCUCUCUCAUCACACGGUAAUCAAGACCAAUAACAUUCAACACAUAGUCUCCCCAAGUUUUAGAUAAAACCAUGGACCAAAUCCACCCAAAUCUUCUUCCACUAUAAUUAAAUGUGAGAUACAAGAAAUUGUUGUCUAGAUAGCACGAGAGGCUCACAUACAUCAAGACCUCUCAAUCUUGGAUGGCAACAACAAGAUUUGGGGCUCAAGAGAUUGUGUUGGAACAAUCUCACCAAAGAUGUGGAAUCAGUAUCUUGAAAGAGACAAGGUGGUGGAUCAAAUCAUCACAACCUUAGGUUUGAGCUCCCUUUGCUUGCUUGAAGCUCUUCCUUCAAUCUUUCUUUAUGUUUUCCUCUUCUUCUCCAACGAAGGCUAACCUGAUUUUCGUCAUUUAUAUUGGUGGCUUCUGGAUGGGACUAGACCUCCCCCUUCCCUCGCAUGCAAAUAGCAAAAUGACCCAAGGUCAUUAGCCUAUGGGCGGUGGGCUUUGCCACAUGUUUGGGCUGUCUAAGGCCAUGUUCGGUUGACAGGGUUGUGGAGGGGUUUUGACAGGGAUUGAGGUGGAUUAAAUCCUCUACAAGUCAAAUCCCCUCCAAUCCUUUUAGGGCAGGGUGUAACCGAACAAAGCCUAAAUGACUCACAUUUAUCAUCUCUUUUUUUUGAGGAAAAACUUUCAAUCUAUUCAUCUUCAAUCAUAGCAGUACAACGAAUACCAGAAAAAAAAAUUACAUCCAGAUUCGUAGACCACCUAGCGACGACUACAAGCACCGAAUCGAGCCGAAGGCGCGCCGCCGUCAUCGCCCCUCCAUCACCGGAGCCAGGCACAAGUUGUUGUAGUAGACAGUCGGGAAGUCGUCGUGCUAAGGCCCCAUAGGACCAACACCCCAGAACAGCAACCGCCGCCGAUGAAAAAUAACAUAGAUCGGAAGGAUCCAAACCGAAGACACACGAACGUAGACGAACAACGACGAGAUCUGAGCAAAUCCACCAAAGAUAGAUCUGCCGGAGACACACCUCCACACGCCCACCAACGAUGCUAGACGCACCGCCGGAACAGGGGCUAGGCGGGGAGACCUUUAUUCCAUCUUCAGGGAGCCGCCGCCGUCUCGCCUUCCUGAGUAGGACACAAACCCUAACAAGAUUGAAAAAACGGACUAAAAACGGAGCCCUCCCGCCGGCCCUUGCCAGGAUCCACCGUGCCUCCAUGGCCCUAGGGCCACCGGAGACGAGGCGGACCUGCGCCGGUGCCGGCGAGAGGCACGAACCCUAACUUUCUUUCUUGGAGGAGGAGGAGGAGGAGGCUCACAUUUGUCAUCUCAUUACGACCCACAUGAGGAGGUAUCCCAACAAUAAGUGUAUAUAUCUUUUACAAUGUGCACACUAAACAAAAUCAGUGCUCAAAGUUUUGUGCACUUUUGAGCAGUGGUUUUGUUAUUUUUGGUGAGGGCUCCUUGAAUGUUAUUUGCGGAUGAAAUUUAGUAAGAAGCUAAAACUUUUGAUCUUGUUUGAUUUCAAAAAAACUGAUUUUUUUGUAAUAUAUGUUCUGAAUUUGCUGUUCAUCUGGGUGCACCUACAUCGGGAGCAGACACACCUUUCUGCUAAGCAAAUAAAAAAAACUAAAAAGGUAUAAUAUUUAUCCAGUCCCUCAACUAUUGUGAAAGUCCAAAUUUGGUCACUCAAAUUAAAACAAUAAAACGUUGGUCUGUAAAGUGUCAUCUGCAUUUGUCCCUUGGUUCGGUCAAAGUAGUUUUGAUGAUCACUUGACUGUGGUUUUGCACACAUGGAAGCCCACUGGACGACUAUUGUGAAACAAUGAAAAACGGUGAAUGAGAAUAAAUGGAAUAUUUUUUAUGGGCAAAGACAACUACUCAAAAAAUUACCAUGGUUUUACGUAUUUUGGAAAUGCGCAACGAUUAUGAAAAUUAAGAAAACUGUGGGCUUUGUAAACUUCUUGAAAAUCGUAGAAAUCGGCAAAGAUGCUAAUUAUUUUCCUUUAUUACUCAUGAUUUUUUCUACUCGUCUUCCCCUCGAGUUAGGGUUUUGUUCUCGCGGCGGCGACUACGACGCCGUCGAGUAGAUCGUUUUUUCCUUCCCUAUCGCCGAUCUCUCUCUGUCUUCCUCCAUCGCUCACCCCACGCGAGGCUAGGCAGGGAACGGUGGUUCUAGGGUUUCCCCAAUAUACCCGGUCAGUUUUUGCAUCGGGUAAGGUUCUUCUGAUGGCUGCUGAUGGGGCCUCGAGCUCCUCGGGUGCAAGCGACGUCGAGCGGAUGAUGGCAGAACUUGGACUGAAGGAAGAAGAUCUUGAUGAUGUGAUCUUCGAUGAGAAAGAUGCGCCUCCACAGGGACCCAGAUGGAUUGCGUUGGCUAGGGUAAACACCUCCAAAUCGUACAGUCAGACGUGGUUCUACAGAAACAUGCGGUCAGCAUGGAAUAUAGCGCAGGAGGCCAAGUUUAAGCCCUUGGAAGAUAAUCUGUACUGAGUUCAACUGUCUUGUUUAAGAGAUUGGGAGAGAGUUAUGCAUGAGGGACCUUGGAAUUUCCGAGGGGAUGCAGUGCUUCUUGCGCCUUAUGAUGGGGUCUCAAAACCUUCAUCCAUCAAGGUGAAGACAAUUGACAUAUGGAUCCAGAUACAUGAUGUUCCUGAUCUGUUUGCUCACCUGGUUACCGCACUAGCUGCAAAGGUGGGGGAAGUGCUAUUCACAUAACAACCGUCUCAUGACUUUGUUGGGAAUUUCCAUAGGGUGUGGAUUCGAUUGAAUGUGUUUAAACCCCUAAAGAACGCUGUAUCUAUGAUCAGAGGGGGGGGGAGACAGAUCUACAGGGUAAAGUAUGAGAAGCUCCCUGAUUGGUGCGCCGUGUGUGGUAUGUUGGGUCAUCUCUAUAAGGAACACGGUACUGGGAUUCAUCCCCCUUCGGCUCUAGUCUUCAAGGAUUUACGAGCUAGCUGGGCCAUGCGAGCGAGCCAAGGUCCUGGAGAGGGCCGAGGUAGGAGAGGUGGCUGCAGGGGAGGCCGGACAGGGGGACGAUCAGGCAACCGCCGCGAGGCCGACAUGAACAACUUCCCAGCUUAUCAGGGGACGGGAAGGAGAGAGGACGACAUGGUAGUUGGAUGGCAAUGGCAACGAUGCUGAUAUGGAUGAUCUCACAAGGAAGAGGUUGGCUGGGUUGCCGCUGUAAGGCAAUGUGCACAACAACACAAAAGGUGAUGCUACAGAUAAGCUAGCAAUCGUGCCGAUGGGCACUUCCGUGUCCAGUCCCCCUCACAGAGAGAACCCAAGAGGACCCGAAAGGAAGAUGAUGGCAGUGAUGGACAGGUUUCGGCAAUGAAGAGUUUGGCAGGCUCCUUCGAGGAGCGCCGCCGGGCCCAAUGAGUGCCCUUUGCUGGAACUGCCGUGGAGCGGGCAAACCAGCGGCAGUCCGAGAACUUCGCGAAUUUGCGAGGAAGUUUACCCCUACCCUACUUUGUAUUGUGGAGACACGGAUUGAAGGUUCUAGGGUAGAAGCUUUAGCUAGUUCUAUUGGUUUUGAUAAUGCUUAUGCAGUGUUUAGUCAAGGUAGGAGUGGUGGUAUCGGUUUGUUUUGGAACAAUGAAAUAAAAGUUGAAAUUCUGGGUUACUCCGUUUACCAUCUUGAUGUCUCUGUAGAGGAGCAGGGUGAGGAUAAGUGGAGACUAACGUGUGUUUAUGGCGAGGCGCAGACGCACUUACGGCACCAAACAUGGACAACUUUGAAAAACAUCAGUACAACAAGCAGCUUAUGUAACACCCAGGAUGUAACUUUCCAUCUUUGUAACUCCAACUCUUGCCAUUUUCGGCUAUGUGAUAUGAUAUUUCCUCCGUGGUUGGGUUUUGUCUUUUGUUUUUCAUUUUAUUCAUGUCAUGCAUAUCAUAUCAUGUCAUCAUGUGCAUCUCAUUUGCAUACGUGUUCGUCUUAUGCAUCCGAGCAUUUUCCCCGUUGACCGUUUCGCAAUCCGACACUCCCACAUGCACCGGCGCACCCCUCUUGUCUCCUUUCGUGUGCGGGUGUUGAACGUUCUCGGAAUGGACCGAGCCUUGUCAAGUGGCCCUGGUAUAGCACCAGUAGACCACCUGUCAAGUUUCGGGUCAUUUGGAGCUCGUUUGGUACUCCAACGGUUAACCGCACUCUCGCUAAGGCCUCUUUUAAGUUGCAGCCCAACACCCCUCCAAAACAGCCCAAUAACCCAUCUAAGUCACCUCCAUGCUCUCGGUCGUUCGAUCACGAUCAUGUGGGCGAAAACUACACCCCAUUUGGACACUCCUAGCUCCCUCUACCUCUAUAUAUAGACCCCUCCCCCGAAUUCCGGACGAAACCCUAGCGAAUUCCCCUUCCGCCGCCACCGGACAGGUCCGGCCGCAGCCGGACACGUCCGGGUUGCCCUGCCGCCGCCACGUGUCGCCGCCUGGUUCGUCCGCACCGCCGCCGCGCCAGUCCCCGCCGCCGGCCCGGNNNNNNNNNNNNNNNNNNNNNNNNNNNNNNNNNNNNNNNNNNNNNNNNNNNNNNNNNNNNNNNNNNNNNNNNNNNNNNNNNNNNNNNNNNNNNNNNNNNNNNNNNNNNNNNNNNNNNNNNNNNNNNNNNNNNNNNNNNNNNNNNNNNNNNNNNNNNNNNNNNNNNNNNNNNNNNNNNNNNNNNNNNNNNNNNNNNNNNNNNNNNNNNNNNNNNNNNNNNNNNNNNNNNNNNNNNNNNNNNNNNNNNNNNNNNNNNNNNNNNNNNCCGGCCUCGCCCUCCUCUCCUCCGGCCGCCGUCUCCAGCGCGCCCCGGCCUCGUCCUCCUCCCUCCGGCCGCCGUCGUCCCCGUCUCCGGCGAGCCGCGCUGCCGCCUCGGGAACCGCGCGCGCCAGAUCCAGAUCCAGAUCGGACCGGUUGACCUCUUCCCCCCUGUUUAUUUCACUAAGUCUUUUAUCUGCUGGUAAAAUCAUUGCAUGUUCAUCGCAUCACAUCUUCGCAUCCGUAGCUCCGUUUUGUGCGUGUAAUAUGUCAAAUUGUUCGCCUCGAAGAGUACAUCAUUUCAUUCCAUUGCAUCAUUUACAUUUGAGGUCAUCUUGAUGCCCGAAAUGCUGUUGGAAGAGGGCUUCAUAUUGUUAGUUUCAGAUCCUUAUCAGCACGAGCUCUUUUGUCAUUUUUGCCAUGAUUGAUGUGUGCAUCCUAUGAGGUUGAUCCCUAAAUGUGUUUUGAACUAGGCUAUGUCUUCUUUACAGAGGUGCUUACCAUGUAUUUUUGUGAUCAAUGUGGUGACUAGCACAAGCAUGCAAACUAGGCUUCGUGUUAACGCUGAUUUUAGUUCCUGUUCUGCUGCAAAUUUGAUGCCAUGUAAACAUGUUGCUAUAGAGAGAUCCAUGCAUAAUUUGAGAUACUUCAGUAAGGGUGUUUUGAAAACAUGGUUUUGCUCUAUUCAUCCAUGGUCCUGGUUGCAAUUAUGGAGUAGUCUAGCAUGUCAUUUUCGUGCUCUAUUUUUGCUUCAAACUGUUUCCUGGCAGAUUGUUUACAUGUUAUUCAAUUUGGCCGAGGUUGUUGUAGUUGGUCCGGGUAUGCUAUGAUGUUGUUUCUUGCCAUGUAUAGAUUCUAUGUCAUGUCUUUUUGAUCGAUGUAUGCUUAGUUUAUCAUGAGGAGCUCUAUAGUGAGUGCAUCGAGCUCGCGAAGGUGCCUUCGUAAUUAUUUCAAUGCCAUGCUUUGUUUGCUGAAAUCUGUUAACGAAACUUGCUAUGUUUACGUGGGUGCCAUCAUAUUUUCUAGUCCUUUUUGGCUUAUGGUCAGUAAGGAACUUUUGAUCUAUGCUUUGAGUAGAUUUAUGCCAUAUCUUAUUUUGCUAUUAUAAGUUCCUGUAGCAUGUUGAUAACCUGCUCUGAACAUUGCUUCGUGCUGCUGUUUAUGCCAUGUCCAGCCUGAUAAUGUUUUUGCACUUUCUUCAUGCUUGUUUGAACCUGUUAUGAUGUGAUUGAGCCGUAGCUCAGUGUUCCUAUUUUGUAAAGCAUCUCCUGUAGAUCACUGCCAUAUGAUUUGUUUUCAUGUUGGGGUGCUGUAGCAUAGUUUCUUGUUGCAUGCUAAGUAGCAUCGUGCUGUUAAAUGCAGCUUUGUGUCAUACUUGUCUUGCUUGCCAUUUGCAAACCGUGCAUCCGUUCCCGGCGAUCUUUAUAUCGAUUUCACCCGAAUCAUCUCAUCUUUCCAGCGGCAUACUUGGUUUGCCAAGUUGAUGCCUUGUUCAUCCUUUUUCCUCCCGAAGCACGCAUAUGCAUUGCAUAUCACAUCUCGCAUAUCAUGACAUGUUUUGCAUCAUAUUGCUUGCGCAUUGCAUAGUGAUUUAUUGUGGUUCCUUGCUUGUGUUCUUGCUUUGGGUAGAGCCGGAAGACGAGUACGUGCACGAGGAACCUGUUGAGAACGCUUACGAGGAUCAAACCUUCGACAACUCUGAGAACCUUGCAGGCAAGAUGAUCAUACCUUCGAAAUCAUUACUAUCUUUGCUUGCUAGUACUCGCUCUUUCGCUAUGUUAGCCCUACCUGCCUUUAUCUACCAUGCCUACCUAUUGCCAUGUUGAACCUCUAACCAUCCUGUCCUAGCAAACCGUUGUUUGGCCAUGUCACCGCUUUUGCUCAGCCCCUCUUAUAGCAUUGUUAGCUGCAGGUGAAGCUGAAGUUUGUUCCAGGUCGGAACAUGGUUAUUUUGGGGUAUCACAAUAUCUCCUGUUUAUAUUAAUGCACCUUAUAUACUUGGUAAAGGGUGGAAGGCUCGGCCUUAUGCCUGGUGACUUGUUCCACUCUUGCCGCCCUAGUUCCGUAUACCGGUGUUAUGUUCCUUGAUUUUGCGUUCCUUACACGGUUGGGUGAUUUAUGGGACCCCCUUAACAGUUCGCUUUGAAUAAAACUCCUCCAGCAAGGCCCAACUUUGGUUUUACCAUUUGCCACCUAAGCCCUUUUCCUUUGGGUUUUCGCGAGCCCAAGGGUCAUCUUUAUUACCCCCCCCCCCCGGGCCAGUGCUCCUUCGAGUGUUGGUCCGAAAUGAGCUGCCUGCGGGGCCACCUCGGGGAAACUUGAGGGCUGGUUUUACUCGUAGCUAGUCUCAUCUGGUGUCGCUCUGAGAACGAGAUAUGUGCAGCUCUUAUCGAGAUUUGUCGGCGCAUCGGGCGGCUUUGCUGGUCUUGUUUUACCAUUGUCGAAAUGUUUUGCGAACCGGGAUUCCGAGACUGAUCGGGUCUUCCCGGGAGAAGGUCUAUUCCUUCGUUGACCGUGAGAGCUUGUGAUGGGCUGAGUUGGGACACCCCUGCAGGGUAUAUAAUCUUUCGAAAGUCGUGCCCGCGGUUAUGAGGCAGAUGGGAAUUUGUUAAUGUCCGGUUGUAGAUAACUUGACACUUGACCUCUUUAAAAUGCAUCAACCGUGUGUGUAGCCGUGAUGGUCUCUUCUCGGCGGAGUCCGGGAAGUGAACACGGUUUGUGUUAUGCUUGACGUAAGUAGUUUCAGGAUCACUUCUUGAUCGCUUCUAGCUUCUCGACCGCCGCGUUGCUUCUCUUCUCGCUCUCAUUUGCAUAUGUUAGCCACCAUAUAUGCUUAGUGCUUGCUGCAGCUCCACCAUAUCACACCUUUACCUACCUAUGAGCUUAAAUAGUCUUUAUCUCGCGGGUGUGAGAUUGCUGAGCCCUCGUGUCUCAUAGAUUCUACCAAAACAGAUGCAGGUGCCGAGGAUACUGGCGCAAAUGGCGCAACUGAGCUGAAGUGGGAAUUUGAUGAGGCCCUUGGUCGUUACUAUGUAUCGUUUCUAGAUGAUCAGUAGAGGUGCCCAGUCGGGACGAUCGGGCAUCUAUGUAGCAUUUGGGGUAGUCUUCUUUUAUUUUGGUUCCGUAGUCGGACCUUGAGUGUAAUCUGGAUGAUGGAUGUUUAUUUAUGUAUUGUGUGAAGUGGCGACUGUAAGACAACUAUGUAUCUUUUCCCUUAUGUAUUACAUGGGUUGUGCGAAGAUUACCUCACUUGCGACAUUGCUUUCAAUGCGGUUAUGCCUCUAAGUCGUGCUUCGACACAUGGGAGAUAUAGCCGCAUCGAGGGUGUUACAAGUUGGUAAUCAGAGCUAUCCCCGACUUAGGAGCCCCUGCUUGAUUGUUUGCUGGCGAUGUUGAGUCUAGAAACAAAAAUGUUUUGAGUCUUAGGAUUAUAUAUAUCGGAGAGUAGGAUUCUUUUUACUCCUCAGUCCCUUCGUCGCUCUGGUGAGGUCUCCUGACGUAGAUGUUUUGACUAUCCUCUUCUCAAAUUUCACUAAAAAAAUUUUAGGAUCACGCGGGUAUCUUGGAAUCGUUCUGAUAGUUUUGUGACGAGAACAUUAUUCUUGGUGCCUCCUGACAUUUAGGGGUUGUGGCAGUGUCCCGGGGAGUUGAGCUCCGAGGUGUUGUCGUCACAAUUUUAUCGUUGCAGUUCUGGAAUACCUGAGAUUUGCCGACAUCGAAAAUCUCUUUUAUGCAGUUGUUGGUGAGAUAACCCCGAUAACCCAGUACUUGGGCGAGCUCGGGAGUAUUGCCAUAACUCGUAUAACGGAUGCUUUUCGAAGGUUGAGGUACACGAUUUCCGAAGGUUUCUUGGUUAUGUGUUGACGGAUGGAUACAGCUGGAUGUAGGGAUUGCUAGUUUGGGUGAGAUAUUGUGCUUCCCCUGUAUCCCCAACACCAGAUUGCAUAACCAGAAAGUUUCGGGAGUUUAUAGGUGGGAUUCAAGUAGCUCUAGCAUUUCUUCCCGCAGAUAUUUGGUUUGUGAUUGGGUAAUCCUUACCACGUAUUUGUUCCAGUCGUACCUUGUUUAUUUCAUUCAUCAAUCUCUAUUCAAGUGGCUUCUCACCUUAAUGGACGUGUGAUGUUUACUUUGGAAUUCAUUCGUUCAUCCUUGUUUGAAUGUUUAUAGUUUAUUGUGAAGACUAUAUGUUGCAAUUUCUAUCCGAUUGAUUCAACUUGUCUAUCUGUCUAUCAAGAUGCUAACGGAUGUCACCCUCUUCAGGAUGGCUCCGCCAACGCGUCUGAAUCCGGAACGCAAUGAUGGGAGUCAGGCGAACCGUCCACCUCCACCUCCGCCUCCGGAGGCAUGGCAAGCUUUGAUGGCAGCCUCUAACGCUCAUGCUCAGAUGAUGAUCCAGCUCAUGCAAGAGCGCAACCAAGGCCAAGGCAACCAAGGGAAUCAAGGUCAAGGGCAGUUCAAUCAUCAGCCUCAGUUUCCUACCCUCAACCAAUUCCUUGCAAAUCAGCCGAAGUCUUUCAGCUAUUGUGUCGAGGCCACAGACGCCGAUGAUUGGCUCGUGGAUAUCAACAAGCAUUUUCAAUGCAGCAAUGUUAGGCCUGAGGACUAUGUCAAGUUCGCUUCUUUUCAGCUUAAGGAUCAGGCAGCUGAUUGGUUCCAGCAAUACAAGGAUUCCAGAGGUGGUCGAGUGAUUACUUGGACUGAUUUCUGUCGGGACUUUAAAGCUCACCAUAUUCCUACCAGUGUUGUUGAGAGCAAGCGAGAGGAGUUCCGCAAUCUCAAGCAAGGCAACAUGUCAGUGUAUGAAUAUAACAAGCAGUUUCAGAAACUUGCUCGCUUUGCUAAGCAAGAUGUUCCAGAUGAAAAAAGUAUGAUCUAUCAGUUCAGAGGUGGCCUUAGAGAGGAUCUGCAGUUAGCUCUCGUUCUUAUUGAGCCUACUCAGUUUGAUCAAUUCUACAAUAUGGCACUCAAGCAAGAAGGUGCUCAGCUCAAGUGUGAGGCUUCUAAGAAGAGAAUCAGAGAUGCAGUGCAAUCUUCUUCUUCCUCACAAGUGGCAGCUAAGCAGCAGAAGUUCUACCUGCCUCCUCCUCCGUUUCGUCAGCCUUACCAGCAGAAGAACUCAGGUGGUCGUGGAUCUUCCCACCCACCCAACCCAAGCUAUCAGAACAAGUCUCAGCCUCAAGCUCCAAGGUCAAGUGCUCCCUAUCAUCGUCCACUCUCAGAAGUGACUUGCAACAAGUGCCAGUAGAAAGGUCACUACACGAACAAAUGCUUAAAUCAAAGGCGCCUUCCUCCUCCUCCUCCUGUGAGAUCUUCAAGCAAUGCAGUGGUCAAGCAUAAUUCCAAGUCUACAAAGGUCAACAUGUUGAAUGCAGCUUAGGCAGAGGAUUCUUCAGAUGUGAUCAUGGGUAAUCUUCCAGUUAAUGAUAUUCCUGCAAAAGUCUUAUUUGAUACUGGUGCAUCGCAUUCUUUCAUGUCAUAUCCUUUUGCAUCGAAGCACAAUUUUGACACAGAGGAGUUACCUAGAGCUAUGCAAGUUAUUUCUCCAGCUAAGUGUUUGAGCUCUAGCAUGAUGGUUCCAAAUGUCGGUAUCAAGAUGGGCGACUAUAAAUUUUUGUCUUCUCCAGUUGUUCUUGGCGAUUCUGAUAUUGAUCUAAUUCUCGGGAUGGACUGGCUUUCUAAGCACAAGGCUCAGCUUGAUUGUGCUGCCAGGCAAAUUCAAUUGACUCACCCUUCUGAGGAUGUUAUCAUCUAUGCCGCUCGUGAUGAAACCAUUCGGUUGUUUUCUCUCAAUGAGAAGGGCGAAUUGGAUGCUAUUUCUCAAAUUCCAGUCGUUUGUGAGUACCAAGAUGUCUUUCCAGAAGAGCUUCCGGGUAUGCCUCCUCAUCGGCCAGUCGAGUUCGUUAUUGAUCUUGAGCCUGGAACAGAACCCGUUUGCAAGCGUCCAUACAAGCUUGGACCCAAGGAGCUGAAGGAAUUGAAGAAGCAGCUCGAUGAACAAGAGCGUCUGGGUUUGAUCAGACCGAGUUCUUCCCCAUGGGGUUGUGGAGUUCUUUUUGUCCAGAAGAAGGAUGGCACGGACCGACUUUGUGUCGAUUACCGUCCAUUGAACAAGAAGACUAUCAAGAACAAGUACCCACUUCCCAACAUCAAUGAGCUUUUCGAGCAACUCAAAGGGGCUAAAGUCUUCUCCAAGCUUGACCUUCGUAUGGGUUAUCAUCAGAUUCGCAUUCGUGAACAAGACAUUCCCAAGACAGCAUUCAGAACAAGCUAUGGUUCUUAUGAAUAUACUGUCAUGUCUUUGGGCCUUGUCAAUGCUCCUCCAACGUUCUCUCGCAUGAUGAACUUUAUCUUCAACCCCUACACCAAUGAAUUUGUUUUGGUGUAUCUCGAUGAUAUUUUGGUCUUCUCCAAGAAUAAGCAGGAUCAUGCCAAACAUUUGCGAUUGGUGCUCGACAAGCUCAGAGAGUAUCAAUUCUAUGCAAAGUUUUCCAAAUGUGAGUUCUGGCUUGAUGAAGUUCUUUACCUUGGCCAUAUCAUCUCCGCCAAGGGAAUUGCUGUUAAUCCGGCGAAGGUUUCUGCAGUUCUGAAUUGGGAACCUCCUCAGAAUGUCAAACAGCUCUGCAGUUUUCUCGGUCUUGCAAGUUAUUGCCGAAGAUUCGUUGAGAACUUCUCUAAGAUUGCAAAACCUCUUUCCAACCUCCUCCAGAAGCAUGUCAAGUAUGUCUGGACGCCUGAGUGCGACGUCACUUUCAACACCCUCAAAGAGAAGCUAGUCAUAGCUCCUGUUUUGACUCCUCCUGAUGAAUCCAAGCCAUUCGAAGUAUUCUGUGAUGCUUCCCUUCAAGGUCUCGGUGCUGUGUUGAUGCAAGAGAAGAAAGUUGUGGCCUAUACCUCUCGUCAGUUGAAGCCCAACGAAAAGAACUACCCCACUCACGAUCUUGAGUUGGCGGCAGUUGUCCAUGCAUUGAUAACAUGGAGACAUCUCUUAUUGGGAAGGCAAGUGGACAUUUUCACCGAUCACAAGAGCCUCAAGUAUAUCUUCACUCAACCCAACCUUAAUCUCAGGCAAACUCGAUGGGUCGAAAUGAUUCAAGAGUACAAUCCGAGUAUCGAAUAUACUCCUGGCAAGGCGAAUGUGAUUGCAGAUGCUUUGAGCAGAAAGGCUUAUUGCAACAGUCUAAUUCUCAAGCCGUUUCAACCGGAUCUCUGUGAAGCCUUCCGCAAGCUGAAUCUUCAAGUUGUUCCUCAAGGCUUUCUUGCCAACCUCAUAGUCUCUCCUACUUUGGAAGAUCAAAUUCGUGAGGCACAACUCCUGGAUACCAUGGUGAAGAAGGUGAAACGUGGUAUUGACAAGGGCAUUCCUAAAUACAAGUGCUAUCGCUUGGAUGACAAAGAUACUCUUUUCUUCGAGGAUCACAUUGUGGUUCCAAAAGGCGAUCUGAGAAAAGUCAUCAUGAAUGAGGCACACAAUUCCCUCCUAUCCAUUCAUCCUGGAAGUACAAAGAUGUACCAUGACCUCAAGCAGUCAUAUUGGUGGACUCGAAUGAAGCGAGAGAUUGCUCAAUUCGUGAAUGAAUGUGAUGUCUGCAGAAGAGUGAAAGCAGAACACCAAAGACCAGCUGGUCUCCUCCAACCUCUUGCUAUUCCGGAAUGGAAGUUUGACCAUAUCGAGAUGGACUUCGUGACUGGUUUUCCUAAGUCCAAGCGUGGAAAUGAUGCUAUCUUCGUUGUCAUUGACAAGCUUACCAAAGUGGCUCAUUUUCUUCCUAUCAAAGAAUCUAUCACAGCAGCUCAGCUGGCAGAGCUAUACACCUCCAGAAUUAUCUCCUUGCACGGCAUUCCACAAUUGAUAUCUUCAGAUCGUGGAAGCAUCUUCACUUCUAAGUUCUGGGACUCCUUUCAGACGGCCAUGGGCACCAACAUUCGUUUCAGCACAACUUUCCAUCCUCAAACAAGUGGCCAAGUCGAGCGAGUAAAUCAAAUCCUUGAAGAUAUGCUCAGGGCUUGUGUCAUCUCUUUCGGUAUGAAGUGGGAAGAUUGUCUUCCAUAUGCCGAGUUUUCCUACAACAAUAGCUUCCAAGCGAGUUCAGGCAAGGCCCCAUUUGAAAUUCUCUAUGGCAGAAAGUGACGUACUCCUCUCAACUGGUCUGAGACAGGUGAACGCCAACUUCUUGGCAACGACUUGAUCACAGAAGCCGAAGAAAUGUGCAAAGCCAUUCGUGAGAAUCUCAAAGCCGCGCAAUCGCGACAGAAGAGUUACUAUGAUAGCAAGCACCGUGAUUUGGCUUUUGAAAUCGAAGACCAUGUCUACCUCCGCGUCUCUCCAAUGAAAGGCACUCGUCGCUUCGGUAUCACAGGGAAGCUUGCCCCUAGAUACGUGGGUCCUUUCAAGAUCAUUGGAAAAAGAGGCGAUCUCGCCUAUCAACUUGAGCUUCCAUCCAACUUUGCAAACGUGCACGAUGUGUUUCACGUGUCACAGCUUCGCAAGUGCUUCAAGACUCCUGAGCGCACUAUCAACUUCGAAGAAAUCGAUCUCCAAGAAGAUCUCUCUUAUCAUGAGCACCCCGUUGCUAUUCUCGAAGAAACCGAGCGCAAGACUCGCAACAAGUCAAUCAAACUCCUGAAAGUGAAGUGGUCACACCAUUCCGACCGAGAAGCCACCUGGGAGCGCGAGGAUCACCUCCGUUCUGAAUAUCCGGAGUUCUUUCAGUCCUAGAUCUCAGGACGAGAUCCUCUUGUAGUGGUGGAGUGUUGUAACACCCAGGAUGUAACUUUCCAUCUUUGUAACUCCAACUCUUGCCAUUUUCAGCUAUGUGAUAUGAUAUUUCCUCCAUGGUUGGGUUUUGUCUUUUGUUUUUCAUUUUAUUCAUGUCAUGCAUAUCAUAUGAUGUCAUCAUGUGCAUCUUAUUUGCAUACGUGUUCGUCUUAUGCAUCCGAGCAUUUUCCCCAUUGACCGUUUCGCAAUCCGACACUCCCACAUGCACCGGCGCACCCCUUUUGUCUCCUUUCGUGUGCGGGUGUUGAACGUUCUCGGAAUGGACCGAGCCUUGUCAAGUGGCCCUGGUAUAGCACCGGUAGACCACCUGUCAAAUUUCGGGUCAUUUGGAGCUCGUUUGGUACUCCAACGGUUAACCGCACUCCCGCUAAGGCCUCUUUUAAGUUGCAGCCCAACACCCCUCCAAAACAGCCCAAUAACCCAUCUAAGUCACCUCCAUGCUCUCGGUCGUUCGAUCACGAUCAUGUGGGCGAAAACUACACCCCAUUUGGACACUCCUAGCUCCCUCUACCUCUAUAUAUAGACCCCUCCCCCGAAUUCCGGACGAAACCCUAGCGAAUUCCCCUUCCGCCGCCACCGGACACGUCCGGCCGCAGCCGGACACGUCCGNNNNNNNNNNNNNNNNNNNNNNNNNNNNNNNNNNNNNNNNNNNNNNNNNNNNNNNNNNNNNNNNNNNNNNNNNNNNNNNNNNNNNNNNNNNNNNNNNNNNNNNNNNNNNNNNNNNNNNNNNNNNNNNNNNNNNNNNNNNNNNNNNNNNNNNNNNNNNNNNNNNNNNNNNNNNNNNNNNNNNNNNNNNNNNNNNNNNNNNNNNNNNNNNNNNNNNNNNNNNNNNNNNNNNNNNNNNNNNNNNNNNNNNNNNNNNNNNNNNNNNNNNNNNNNNNNNNNNNNNNNNNNNNNNNNNNNNNNNNNNNNNNNNNNNNNNNNNNNNNNNNNNNNNNNNNNNNNNNNNNNNNNNNNNNNNNNNNNNNNNNNNNNNNNNNNNNNNNNNNNNNNNNNNNNNNNNNNNNNNNNNNNNNNNNNNNNNNNNNNNNNNNNNNNNNNNNNNNNNNNNNNNNNNNNNNNNNNNNNNNNNNNNNNNNNNNNNNNNNNNNNNNNNNNNNNNNNNNNNNNNNNNNNNNNNNNNNNNNNNNNNNNNNNNNNNNNNNNNNNNNNNNNNNNNNCCGGCCUCGCCCUCCUCUCCUCCGGCCGCCGUCUCCAGCGCGCCCCGGCCUCGUCCUCCUCCCUCCGGCCGCCGUCGUCCCCGUCUCCGGCGAGCCGCGCUGCCGCCUCGGGAACCGCGCGCGCCAGAUCCAGAUCCAGAUCGGACCGGUUGACCUCUUCCCCCCUGUUUAUUUCACUAAGUCUUUUAUCUGCUGGUAAAAUCAUUGCAUGUUCAUCGCAUCACAUCUUCGCAUCCGUAGCUCCGUUUUGUGCGUGUAAUAUGUCAAAUUGUUCGCCUCGAAGAGUACAUCAUUUCAUUCCAUUGCAUCAUUUACAUUUGAGGUCAUCUUGAUGCCCGAAAUGCUGUUGGAAGAGGGCUUCAUAUUGUUAGUUUCAGAUCCUUAUCAGCACGAGCUCUUUUGUCAUUUUUGCCAUGAUUGAUGUGUGCAUCCUAUGAGGUUGAUCCCUAAAUGUGUUUUGAACUAGGCUAUGUCUUCUUUACAGAGGUGCUUACCAUGUAUUUUUGUGAUCAAUGUGGUGACUAGCACAAGCAUGCAAACUAGGCUUCGUGUUAACGCUGAUUUUAGUUCCUGUUCUGCUGCAAAUUUGAUGCCAUGUAAACAUGUUGCUAUAGAGAGAUCCAUGCAUAAUUUGAGAUACUUCAGUAAGGGUGUUUUGAAAACAUGGUUUUGCUCUAUUCAUCCAUGGUCCUGGUUGCAAUUAUGGAGUAGUAUAGCAUGUCAUUUUCGUGCUCUACUUUUGCUUCAAACUGUUUCCUGGCAGAUUGUUUACAUGUUAUUCAAUUUGGCUGAGGUUGUUGUAGUUGGUCCGGGUAUGCUAUGAUGUUGUUUCUUGCCAUGUAUAGCUUCUAUAUCAUGUCUUUUUGAUGGAUGUAUGCUUAGUUUAUCAUGAGGAGCUCUAUAGUGAGUGCAUCGAGCUCGCGAAGGUGCCUUCAUAAUUAUUUCAAUGCCAUGCUUUGUUUGCUGAAAUCAGUUAACGAAACUUGCUAUGUUUACGUGGGUGCCAUCAUAUUUUCUAGUCCUUUUUGACUUAUGGUCAGUAAGGGACUUUUGAUCUAUGCUUUGAGUAGAUUUAUGCCAUGUCUUAUUUUGCUAUUAUAAGUUCCUAUAGCAUGUUGAUAACCUGCUCUGAACAUUGCUUCGUGCUGCUGUUUAUGCCAUGUCCAGCCUGAUAAUUUUUUUGCACUUUCUUCAUGCUUGUUUGAACCUGUUAUGAUGUGAUUGAGCCGUAGCUCAGUGUUCCUAUUUUGUAAAGCAUCUCCUGUAGAUCACUGCCAUAUGCUUUGUUUUCAUGUUGCGGUGCUGUAGCAUAGUUUCUUGUUGCAUGCUAAGUAGCAUCGUGCUGUUAAACGCAGCUUUGUGUCAUACUUGUCUUGCUUGCCAUUUGCAAACCGUGCAUCCGUUCCCGGUGAUCUUUAUAUCGAUUUCACCCGAAUCAUCUCAUCUUUCCAGCGGCAUACUUGGUUUGCCAAGUUGAUGCCUUGUUCAUCCUUUUUCCUCCCGAAGCACGCAUAUGCAUUGCAUAUCACAUCUCGCAUAUCAUGACAUGUUUUGCAUCAUAUUGCUUGCGCAUUGCACAGUGAUUUAUUGUGGUUCCUUGCUCGUGUUCUUGCUUUGGGUAGAGCCGGGAGACGAGUACGUGCACGAGGAACCUGUUGAGAACGCUUACGAGGAUCAAACCUUCGACAACUCUGAGAACCUUGCAGGCAAGAUGAUCAUACCUUCGAAAUCAUUACUAUCUUUGCUUGCUAGUACUCGCUCUUUCGCUAUGUUAGCCCUACCUGCCUUUAUCUACCAUGCCUACCUAUUGCCAUGUUGAACCUCUAACCAUCCUGUCCUAGCAAACCGUUGUUUGGCCAUGUCACCGCUUUUGCUCAGCCCCUCUUAUAGCAUUGUUAGCUGCAGGUGAAGCUGAAGUUUGUUCCAGGUCGGAACGUGGUUAUUUUGGGGUAUCACAAUAUCUCCUGUUUAUAUUAAUGCACCUUAUAUACUUGGUAAAGGGUGGAAGGCUCGGCCUUAUGCCUGGUGACUUGUUCCACUCUUGCCGCCCUAGUUCCGUAUACCGGUGUUAUGUUCCUUGAUUUUGCGUUCCUUACACGGUUGGGUGAUUUAUGGGACCCCCUUAACAGUUCGCUUUGAAUAAAACUCCUCCAGCAAGGCCCAACUUUGGUUUUACCAUUUUCCACCUAAGCCCUUUUCCUUUGGGUUUUCGCGAGCCCAAGGGUCAUCUUUAUUACCCCCCCGGACCAGUGCUCCUUCGAGUGUUGGUCCGAAAUGAGCUGCCUGCGGGGCCACCUCGGGGAAACUUGAGGGCUGGUUUUACUCGUAGCUAGUCUCAUCCGGUGUCGCCCUGAGAACGAGAUAUGUGAAGCUCUUAUCGAGAUUUGUCGGUGCAUCGGGCGGCUUUGCUGGUCUUGUUUUACCAUUGUCGAAAUGUUUUGCGAACCGGGAUUCCGAGACUGAUCGGGUCUUCCCGGGAGAAGGUCUAUUCCUUCGUUGACCGUGAGAGCUUGUGAUGGGCUGAGUUGGGACACCCCUGCAGGGUAUAUAAUCUUUCGAAAGUCGUGCCCGCGGUUAUGAGGCACAUGGGAAUUUGUUAAUGUCCGGUUGUAGAUAACUUGACACUUGACCUCUUUAAAAUGCAUCAACCGUGUGUGUAGCCGUGAUGGUCUCUUCUCGGCGGAGUCCGGGAAGUGAACACGGUUUGUGUUAUGCUUGACGUAAGUAGUUUCAGGAUCACUUCUUGAUCGCUUCUAGCUUCUCGACCGCCGCGUUGCUUCUCUUCUUGCUCUCAUUUGCAUAUGUUAGCCACCAUAUAUGCUUAGUGCUUGCCGCAGCUCCACCAUAUCACACCUUUACCUACCUAUGAGCUUAAAUAGUCUUGAUCUCGCGGGUGUGAGAUUGCUGAGCCCUCGUGGCUCAUAGAUUCUACCAAAACAGAUGCAGGUGCCGAGGAUACUGGCGCAAAUGGCGCAACUGAGCUGAAGUGGGAAUUUGAUGAGGCCCUUGGUCGUUACUAUGUAUCAUUUCUAGAUGAUCAGUAGAGGUGCCCAGUCAGGACGAUCGGGGAUCUGUGUAGCAUUUGGGGUAGUCUUCUUUUAUUUUGGUUCCGUAGUCGGACCUUGAGUGUAAUCUGGAUGAUGGAUGUUUAUUUAUGUAUUGUGUGAAGUGGCGGCUGUAAGACAACUAUGUAUCUUUUCCCUUAUGUAUUACAUGGGUUGUGCGAAGAUUACCUCACUUGCGACAUUGCUUUCAAUGCGGUUAUGCCUCUAACUCGUGCUUCGACACGUGGGAGAUAUAGCCGCAUCGAGGGUGUUACAAGUUGGUAAUCAGAGCUAUCCCCGACUUAGGAGCCCCUGCUUGAUUGUUUGCUGGCGAUGUUGAGUGUAGAAACAAAAAUGUUUUGAGUCUUAGGAUUAUAUAUAUCGGAGAGUAGGAUUCUUUUUACUCCUCAGUCCCUUCGUCGCUCUGGUGAGGUCUCCUGACGUAGAUGUUUUGACUAUCCUCUUCUCAAAUUUCACUAAAAAAAAUUUAGGAUCACGUGGGUAUCUUGGAAUCGUUCUGAUAGUUUUGUGACGAGAACAUUGUUCUUGGUGCCUCCUGACAUUUAGGGGUUGUGGCAGUGUCCCGGGGAGUUGAGCUCCGAGGUGUUGUCGUCACAAUUUUAUCGUUGCAGUUCUGGAAUACCUGAGAUUUGCCGACGUCGAAAAUCUCUUUUAUGCAGUUGUUGGUGAGAUAACCCCGAUAACCCAGUACUGGGGCGAGCUCGGGAGUAUUGCCAUAACUCGUAUAACGGAUGCUUUUCGAAGGUUGAGGUACACGAUUUCCGAAGGUUUCUUGGUUAUGUGUUGACGGAUGGAUACAGCUGGAUGUAGGGAUUGCUAGUUUGGGUGAGAUAUUGUGCUUCCCCUGUAUCCCCAACACCAGAUUGCAUAACCAGAAAGUUUCGGGAGUUUAUAGGUGGGAUUCAAGUAGCUCUAGCAUUUCUUCCCGCAGAUAUUUGGUUUGUGAUUGGGUAAUCCUUACCACGUAUUUGUUCCAGUCGUACCUUGUUUAUUUCAUUCAUCAAUCUCUAUUCAAGUGGCUUCUCACCUUAAUGGACGUGUGAUGUUUACUUUGGAAUUCAUUCGUUCAUCCUUGUUUGAAUGUUUAUAGUUUAUUGUGAAGACUAUAUGUUGCAAUUUCUAUCCGAUUGAUUCAACUUGUCUAUCUGUCUAUCAAGAUGCUAACGGAUGUCACCCUCUUCAGGAUGGCUCCGCCAACGCGUCUGAAUCCGGAACGCAAUGAUGGGAGUCAGGCGAACCCUCCACCUCCACCUCCGCCUCCGGAGGCAUGGCAAGCUUUGAUGGCAGCCUCUAACGCUCAUGCUCAGAUGAUGAUCCAGCUCAUGCAAGAGCGCAACCAAGGCCAAGGCAACCAAGGGAAUCAAGGUCAAGGGCAGUUCAAUCAUCAGCCUCAGUUUCCUACCCUCAACCAAUUCCUUGCAAAUCAGCCGAAGUCUUUCAGCUAUUGUGUCGAGGCCACAGACGCCGAUGAUUGGCUCGUGGAUAUCAACAAGCAUUUUCAAUGCAGCAAUGUUAGGCCUGAGGACUAUGUCAAGUUCGCUUCUUUUCAGCUUAAGGAUCAGGCAGCUGAUUGGUUCCAGCAAUACAAGGAUUCCAGAGGUGGUCGAGUGAUUACUUGGACUGAUUUCUGUCGGGACUUUAAAGCUCACCAUAUUCCUACCAGUGUUGUUGAGAGCAAGCGAGAGGAGUUCCGCAAUCUCAAGCAAGGCAACAUGUCAGUGUAUGAAUAUAACAAGCAGUUUCAGAAACUUGCUCGCUUUGCUAAGCAAGAUGUUCCAGAUGAAAAAAGUAUGAUCUAUCAGUUCAGAGGUGGCCUUAGAGAGGAUCUGCAGUUAGCUCUCGUUCUUAUUGAGCCUACUCAGUUUGAUCAAUUCUACAAUAUGGCACUCAAGCAAGAAGGUGCUCAGCUCAAGUGUGAGGCUUCUAAGAAGAGAAUCAGAGAUGCAGUGCAAUCUUCUUCUUCCUCACAAGUGGCAGCUAAGCAGCAGAAGUUCUACCUGCCUCCUCCUCCGUUUCGUCAGCCUUACCAGCAGAAGAACUCAGGUGGUCGUGGAUCUUCCCACCCACCCAACCCAAGCUAUCAGAACAAGUCUCAGCCUCAAGCUCCAAGGUCAAGUGCUCCCUAUCAUCGUCCGCUCUUAGAAGUGACUUGCAACAAGUGCCAGUAGAAAGGUCACUACGCGAACAAAUGCUUAAAUCAAAGGCGCCUUCCUCCUCCUCCUGUGAGAUCUUCAAGCAAUGCAGUGGUCAAGCAUAAUUCCAAGUCUGCAAAGGUCAACAUGUUGAAUGCAGCUCAGGCAGAGGAUUCUUCAGAUGUGAUCAUGGGUAAUCUUCCAGUUAAUGAUAUUUCUGCAAAAGUCUUAUUUGAUACUGGUGCAUCGCAUUCUUUCAUGUCAUAUCCUUUUGCAUCGAAGCACAAUUUUGACACAGAGGAGUUACCUAGAGCUAUGCAAGUUAUUUCUCCAGCUAAGUGUUUGAGCUCUAGCAUGAUGGUUCCAAAUGUCGGUAUCAAGAUGGGCGACUAUAAAUUUUUGUCUUCUCCAGUUGUUCUUGGCGAUUCUGAUAUUGAUCUAAUUCUCGGGAUGGACUGGCUUUCUAAGCACAAGGCUCAGCUUGAUUGUGCUGCCAGGCAAAUUCAAUUGACUCACCCUUCUGAGGAUGUUAUCAUCUAUGCCGCUCGUGAUGAAACCAUUCGGUUGUUUUCUCUCAAUGAGAAGGGCGAAUUGGAUGCUAUUUCUCAAAUUCCAGUCAUUUGUGAGUACCAAGAUGUCUUUCUAGAAGAGCUUCCGGGUAUGCCUCCUCAUCGGCCAGUCGAGUUCGUUAUUGAUCUUGAGCCUGGAACAGAACCCGUUUGCAAGCGUCCAUACAAGCUUGGACCCUAGGAGCUGAAGGAAUUAAAGAAGCAGCUCGAUGAACAAGAGCAUCUGGGUUUGAUCAGACCGAGUUCUUCCCCAUGGGGUUGUGGAGUUCUUUUUGUCCAGAAGAAGGAUGGCACGGACCGACUUUGUGUCGAUUACCGUCCAUUGAACAAGAAGACUAUCAAGAACAAGUACCCACUUCCCAACAUCAAUGAGCUUUUCGAGCAACUCAAAGGGGCUAAAGUCUUCUCCAAGCUUGACCUUCGUAUGGGUUAUCAUCAGAUUCGCAUUCGUGAACAAGACAUUCCCAAGACAGCAUUCAGAACAAGCUAUGGUUCUUAUGAAUAUACUGUCAUGUCUUUGGGCCUUGUCAAUGCUCCUCCAACGUUCUCUCGCAUGAUGAACUUUAUCUUCAACCCCUACACCAAUGAAUUUGUUUUGGUGUAUCUCGAUGAUAUUUUGGUCUUCUCCAAGAAUAAGCAGGAUCAUGCCAAACAUUUGCGAUUGGUGCUCGACAAGCUCAGAGAGUAUCAAUUCUAUGCGAAGUUUUCCAAAUGUGAGUUCUGGCUUGAUGAAGUUCUUUACCUUGGCCAUAUCAUCUCCGCCAAGGGAAUUGCUGUUAAUCCGGCGAAGGUUUCUGCAGUUCUGAAUUGGGAACCUCCUCAGAAUGUCAAACAGCUCCGCAGUUUUCUCGGUCUUGCAAGUUAUUGCCGAAGAUUCGUUGAGAACUUCUCUAAGAUUGCAAAACCUCUUUCCAACCUCCUCCAGAAGCAUGUCAAGUAUGUCUGGACGCCUGAGUGCGACGUCGCUUUCAACACCCUCAAAGAGAAGCUAGUCAUAGCUCCUGUUUUGACUCCUCCUGAUGAAUCCAAGCCAUUCGAAGUAUUCUGUGAUGCUUCCCUUCAAGGUCUCGGUGCUGUGUUGAUGCAAGAGAAGAAAGUUGUGGCCUAUACCUCUCGUCAAUUGAAGCCCAACGAAAAGAACUACCCCACUCACGAUCUUGAGUUGGCGGCAGUUGUCCAUGCAUUGAUAACAUGGAGACAUCUCUUAUUGGGAAGGCAAGUGGACAUUUUCACCGAUCACAAGAGCCUCAAGUAUAUCUUCACUCAAUCCAACCUUAAUCUCAGGCAAACUCGAUGGGUCAAAAUGAUUCAAGAGUACAAUCCGAGUAUCGAAUAUACUCCUGGCAAGGCGAAUGUGAUUGCAGAUGCUUUGAGCAGAAAGGCUUAUUGCAACAGUCUAAUUCUCAAGCCGUUUCAACCGGAUCUCUGUGAAGCCUUCCGCAAGCUGAAUCUUCAAGUUGUUCCUCAAGGCUUUCUUGCCAACCUCAUAGUCUCUCCUACUUUGGAAGAUCAAAUUCGUGAGGCACAACUCCUGGAUACCAUGGUGAAGAAGGUGAAACGUGGUAUUGACAAGGGCAUUCCUAAAUACAAGUGCUAUCGCUUGGAUGACAAAUAUACUCUUUUCUUCGAGGAUCACAUUGUGGUUCCAAAAGGCGAUCUGAGAAAAGUCAUCAUGAAUGAGGCACACAAUUCCCUCCUAUCCAUUCAUCCUGGAAGUACAAAGAUGUACCAUGACCUCAAGCAGUCAUAUUGGAGGACUCGAAUGAAGCGAGAGAUUGCUCAAUUCGUGAAUGAAUGUGAUGUCUGCAGAAGAGUGAAAGCAGAACACCAAAGACCAGCUGGUCUCCUCCAACCUCUUGCUAUUCCGGAAUGGAAGUUUGACCAUAUCGAGAUGGACUUCGUGACUGGUUUUCCUAAGUCCAAGCGUGGAAAUGAUGCUAUCUUCGUUGUCAUUGACAAGCUUACCAAAGUGGCUCAUUUUCUUCCUAUCAAAGAAUCUAUCACAGCAGCUCAGCUGGCAGAGCUAUACACCUCCAGAAUUGUCUCCUUGCACGGCAUUCCACAAUUGAUAUCUUCAGAUCGUGGAAGCAUCUUCACUUCUAAGUUCUGGGACUCCUUUCAGACGACCAUGGUCACCAACAUUCGUUUCAGCACAACUUUCCAUCCUCAAACAAGUGGCCAAGUCGAGCGAGUAAAUCAAAUCCUUGAAGAUAUGCUCAGGGCUUGUGUCAUCUCUUUCGGUAUGAAGUGGGAAGAUUGUCUUCCAUAUGCCGAGUUUUCCUACAACAAUAGCUUCCAAGCGAGUUCGGGCAAGGCCCCAUUCGAAAUUCUCUAUGGCAGAAAGUGCCGUACUCCUCUCAACUGGUCUGAGACAGGUGAACGCCAACUUCUUGGCAACGACUUGAUCACAGAAGCCGAAGAAAUGUGCAAAGCCAUUCGUGAGAAUCUCAAAGCCGCGCAAUCGCGACAGAAGAGUUACUAUGAUAGCAAGCACCGUGAUUUGGCUUUUGAAAUCGAAGACCAUGUCUACCUCCGCGUCUCUCCAAUGAAAGGCACUCGUCGCUUCGGUAUCAAAGGGAAGCUUGCCCCUAGAUACGUGGGUCCUUUCAAGAUCAUUGGAAAAAGAGGCGAUCUCGCCUAUCAACUUGAGCUUCCAUCCAACUUUGCAAACGUGCACGAUGUGUUUCACGUGUCACAGCUUCGCAAGUGCUUCAAGACUCCUGAGCGCACUAUCAACUUCGAAGAAAUCGAUCUCCAAGAAGAUCUCUCUUAUCAUGAGCACCCCGUUGCUAUUCUCGAAGAAACCGAGCGCAAGACUCGCAACAAGUCAAUCAAAUUCCUGAAAGUGAAGUGGUCACACCAUUCCGACCGAGAAGCCACCUGGGAGCGCGAGGAUCACCUCCGUUCUGAAUAUCCGGAGUUCUUUCAGUCCUAGAUCUCAGGACGAGAUCCUCUUGUAGUGGUGGAGUGUUGUAACACCCAGGAUGUAACUUUCCAUCUUUGUAACUCCAACUCUUGCCAUUUUCGGCUAUGUGAUAUGAUAUUUCCUCCGUGGUUGGGUUUUGUCUUUUGUUUUUCAUUUUAUUCAUGUCAUGCAUAUCAUAUGAUGUCAUCAUGUGCAUCUUAUUUGCAUACGUGUUCGUCUUAUGCAUCCGAGCAUUUUCCUCAUUGACCGUUUCGCAAUCCGACACUCCCACAUGCACCGGCGCACCCCUUUUGUCUCCUUUCGUGUGCGGGUGUUGAACAUUCUCGGAAUGGACCGAGCCUUGUCAAGUGGCCCUGGUAUAGCACCGGUAGACCACCUGUCAAAUUUCGGGUCAUUUGGAGCUCGUUUGGUACUCCAACGGUUAACCGCACUCCCGCUAAGGCCUCUUUUAAGUUGCAGCCCAACACCCCUCCAAAACAGCCCAAUAACCCAUUUAAGUCACCUCCAUGCUCUCGGUCGUUCGAUCACGAUCAUGUGGGCGAAAACUACACCCCAUUUGGACACUCCUAGCUCCCUCUACCUCUAUAUAUAGACCCCUCCCCCGAAUUCUGGACGAAACCCUAGCGAAUUCCCCUUCCGCCUCCACCGGACACAUCCGGCCGCAGCCAGACACGUCGGGUUGCCCCGCCGCCAUGCUCAUCUUGCCUGCAAGGUCUUCCCGGAAGAAGGUCUAUUCCUUCGUUGACCGUGAGAGCUUGUGAUGGGCUGAGUUGGGACACCCCUGCAGGGUAUAUAAUCUUUCGAAAGUCGUGCCCGCGGUUAUGAGGCAGAUGGGAAUUUGUUAAUGUCCGGUUGUAGAUAACUUGACACUUGACCUCUUUAAAAUGCAUCAACCCUGUGUGUAGCCGUGAUGGUCUCUUCUCGGCGGAGUCCGGGAAGUGAACACAGUUUGUGUUAUGCUUGACGUAAGUAGUUUCAGGAUCACUUCUUGAUCGCUUCUAGCUUCUCGACCGCCGCGUUGCUUCUCUUCUUGCUCUCAUUUGCAUAUGUUAGCCACCAUAUAUGCUUAGUGCUUGCCGCAGCUCCACCAUAUCACACCUUUACCUACCUAUGAGCUUAAAUAGUCUUGAUCUCGCGGGUGUGAGAUUGCUGAGCCCUCGUGGCUCAUAGAUUCUACCAAAACAGAUGCAGGUGCCGAGGAUACUGGCGCAAAUGGCGCAACUGAGCUGAAGUGGGAAUUUGAUGAGGCCCUUGGUCGUUACUAUGUAUCAUUUCUAGAUGAUCAGUAGAGGUGCCCAGUCGGGACGAUCGGGGAUCUGUGUAGCAUUUGGGGUAGUCUUCUUUUAUUUUGGUUCCGUAGUCGGACCUUGAGUGUAAUCUGGAUGAUGGAUGUUUAUUUAUGUAUUGUUGAAGUGGCGACUGUAAGCCAACUAUGUAUCUUUUCCCUUAUGUAUUACAUGGAUUGUGCGAAGAUUACCUCACUUGCGACAUUGCUUUCAAUGCGGUUAUGCCUCUAAGUCGUGCUUCGACACGUGGGAGAUAUAGCCGCAUCGAGGGCGUUACAGCUUACCCUGGCUUUGUCAUGGUGAUUUUAAUGAAGUUUUAUGUCCGAAAGAGCACGAGGGUGUUGGUCAACGCAGCAAUGCACAGAUCCAGGCUUUCAGAGAUACAAUUGAUGUUUGCAUGUUACUAGACUUGGGCUAUACUGGUCGUUUUUGGACUUUCGAGAAGAAGGUCACUGGAGGUACAUACACAUGGUGCAGACUGGAUAGGGCGUUGGUCAGCACGGAUUGGAUGGCAAGGUUUCCACUAGCAGCUGUCACCCAUGAGAUAGCUGCUUCUUCAGACCACUCGGCACUGUUGGUUGAUAUGGGACGAAUGAAAAAGCAACACAAAAAACCGGAGUUUCGUUAUGAAGUAAUGUUGGAGACACAUGAGGGCCUCCAUGAUGCUCUAGUUGAUGGAUGGGAUGCAGUGGAGCCUUGCCUGACAGUUCAGGACAUGAGGAAUAAGCUCCGGAACUUGGCGGCAGGUCUAAGCAGAUGGAGCAAUGAUACUUUUGGUAAUGUGAAAAAGGAGAUUAAGCUCUUGAAAAAACAGCUGGAUCAGCUGCGGGGGGAUCCGCUUAGAACUGGAUCAUCACAUGUGGAACUCAAGAUCAAUGAACGCCUAAUUGAGAUGUGCCAUAGAGAGGAAUUAAUGUGGCGUCAGCGAGCAAGGAUCCAGUGGCUGUCAGCGGGUGAUAAGAAUACCAGGUUUUUUCAUCUUCGUGCAAGCUUGCGGCAAAAGAAGAAUAUGAUUAAGGCACUACAAAAUUCCUUGGGGGCGAUCGUUAUUGAUCCAUAUGAAUUAAAGGCAAUGGCAAAUAGUUUCUAUCAAACUUUGUACUCUUCGGAGGGAGUUGAAAACAUGGAUGCGGUGCUAGAUCAUGUGCCUAGGAAAGUAACAGAGGAAAUGAAUGCACGCCUUAAUGCCUAAUACACGUCGGAUGAGCUUAAGCAGCAUUAUUCCAAAUGUUUCCAACGAAAGCACCUGGUCCAGACGGAUUUCCUGCUCAUUUUUAUCAACACAACUGGGAUAUUUGUGGUGAUGAUGUUACAGGAAUUGUUUUGAGAAUAGUGCAAGGGGAGGAAAGCCCGGAAGGCAUUAAUGACACUGUGUUGGUCCUAAUUCCAAAGGUAAUGAGUCCUUCUCAGUUGUCUCAAUUUAGACCCAUCAGUCUUUGCAACGUGCUCUACAAGAUUGCAUCCAAAGUAGUUGCCAACAAACUCAAGAAUAUUUUGCCUGAUAUUAUAUCUGAGGAACAAUCUGCUUUCGUGCCUGGGAGACUCAUCACAGAUAACAUCAUAUGUGCUUAUGAACGUCUGCACUUCAUGAAGAGGACACGGUCACGAUCUAAUAGCUUUUGUGCUUUGAAACUGGACAUGAUGAAAGCCUAUGACAGAUUGGAAUGGCCAUAUUUGAAAGGUAUCAUGGGCAAAUUGGGUUUCUCUCAACAGUGGAUUGACAUAGUAAUGGGGAUGGUCUCAUCAGUAUCCUUUUAUGUUCUCUUUAAUGGAGAGAAACUUGAUUCAUUUAUACCUACAAGAGGUAUCCGACAGGGAGAUCCAAUCUCCCCCUACCUAUUCCUAAUUGCAGUAGAGGGCCUUUCGUGCCUCCUGAAAUCCAGUUCUCGGUCAUCAUUCGCAGGUAUUAAGGUGGCUCUAACGGCGCCCACCAUUAACCACCUUUUAUUUGCAAAUGACAGUCUGCUGCUUUUUAAGGCUAAUUUGGAGGGGUCAGAGGAAGUGUCAAACCUGCUUGAUAUUUAUUGCAGAGCAUCGGGACAGAGGAUAAAUAAUAAGAAGUCUUCCAUCUUCUUUAGUAAAGGAUGUCCAGAUUCCAUAAAGGAAGAGGCGAAGAAUUCCUUAAACGUCCAAAAUGAAUCAUUAAAUGAACAUUAUCUGGGUAUGCCAACUGAUGUAGGCCAGUCGAAGAAUGGCACUUUCAAGUAUCUGCGAGACCGAGUAUGGGAAAGGAUCAAAGGUUGGAUGGAGAAAUUACUAUCUGCGGUCGGAAAAGAAGUUUUAAUUAAGGCAGUUGCACAAGCAAUCCCUGUUUUUUCAAUGUCUUGUUUUCGUCUACCAAGGGGUCUGUCCGCCUAUGUGACAGUAUCACAUCCAUAAUUCGCCAAUUAUGGUGGGGAAGCAAACAAGGUAAGAGGAAACCUAGCUGGGUUGCAUGGGACAUGAUGACCAGGCCUAAGCACUUGGGUGGUCUUGGUUUUCGUGAUUUGGAGAUUUUCAAUCUAGCACUCUUGGCUAGGCAAGCAUGGCGGCUGAUAACCGAUGAGACCUCGCUUAGUGCAAAGGUGCUAAAGGCUGUAUAUUUCCCUCAAUGCUCACUCCUUGAAGCUGAGUUGGGAUCUCACCCCUCUCAGAUAUGGUGAGCAGUGCUUGAUGGGAGGGACAUUGUUGCACAAGGAGUGGUCCGGAGAAUUGGUAAUGGGGCUUCCACACUUAUCUGGCAGCAUAACUAGAUUCCUCGUGAUAACUUCAAGAUGCCGAUUACUUCACUUGUUCCUAAUCCGCCAGAAAGGGUGUCGGAACUGAUUGAUGCUACUUCAGCUCAAUGGAGAGAAGACCUAGUACGGUCUGUCUUUAGUCCUUUUGAUGCUGCAGAGAUACUCAAGAUACCGCUGUGCACGAGGAACAUAACAGAUUUUUGGGCAUGGCAUGAAGAGAGACGGGGAGUUUUCACGAUGCGUUCUGCUUACCGUAUGAUACUAAGAACGAAGAUCAGCUGAGGGAGUCCUGGACUAGGGGGUGUCCGGAUAGCCGAACUAUCAUCAUCGGUCGGACUCCAAGACUAUGAAGAUACAAGAUUGAAGACUUCGUCCUGUGUCCGGAUGGGACUUUCCUUGGCGUGGAAGGCAAGCUUGGCAAUACAGAUAUGCAGAUCUCCUACCAUUGUAACCGACUCUGUGUAACCCUAGCCCUCUCCGGUGUCUAUAUAAACCGGAUGGCUUUAGUCCGUCGGACGAACAACAAUCAUACCAUAGGCUAGCUUCUAGGGUUUAGCCUCCUUGAUCUCGUGGUAGAUCUACUCUUGUAAUACCCACAUCAUCAAUAUCAAUCAAGCAGGACGUAGGGUUUUACCUCCAUCAAGAGGGCCCGAACCUGGGUAAAACAUCGUGUCCCUUGUUUCCUGUUACCAUCCGCCUAGACGCACAGUUCGGGACCCCCUACCCGAGAUCCGCCGGUUUUGACACCGACAUUGGUGCUCUUGUUGAGAGUUCCUCUGUGUCAUCACCGAUAGGCUCGAUGGCUUCUUCGAUCAUCAACAAUGACGCAGUCCAGGGUGAGACCUUCCUCCCCGGGCAAAUCUUUGUAUUCAGCGGCUUUGCAAUGCGGGCCAAUUCGCUUGGCCAUCUGGAGCAGAUCAAAAGCUACGCCCCUGGCCGUCAGGUCAGAUUUGGAAGUUUGAACUUCACAGAUGACAUCCGCGGGGACUUGAUCUUCGAUGGAUUCGAGCCACAGCCGAGCGUGCCGCACUGUCACGACGGGCAUGACUUAGCUCUGCAGCCGGACAGUAACCUGGAGGCCGCACACGAGUCCGCUCCGACCUUCAAUUCGGAGCCGGCUGCGCAGAUCGAGGACGGGUGGCUAGACACCGCCUCGGGGGCUGCAACCUCUACGGCGAUAGAGCCGAACACUGACCUUGUCCCUCACGGAGCUCGUGACUCCGAGGUGCCGGACUCCUCGCCGGACUCCGAACCUCCCGCGCCCCCUCCAAUCGAAUCCGAUUGGGCACCGGUCAUGGAUUUCACCGCUGCAGACAUCUUUCAACACUCACCUUUCGGCGACAUCUUGAGUUCGCUAAAGUAUAUCUCAUUAUCAGGAGAGCCCUGGCUGGACUGCGGUCAGGACGGUUGGGAUGCCGGCGGCGAAGAAAUUCAAAGCCCACCCACCACCCACUUAAUAGCCACUGUCGACGAUCUAACCGACAUGCUAGACUUUGACUCUGAAGACAUCGACGGCAUGGACAACGACGCCGGAGACGACCAAGAACCAGCGCCUACUGGGCACUGGAAAGCCACAUCAUCAUAUGACAUAUACAUGGUGGAUACACCAAAAGGAAGCGACAACGAGGAACAACGGGACGUGGCAAAGGACAACUCCCCCAACAAACAACCAAAACGGCGACGCAAGCGCCGCCCGAAGUCCCACCUCGAUAGCAACGGCACCCAUACUGACCCAGCCUUAGAGCAGGGUGAAGCGGUGGACAACGAACAUGCCACCAAGCAAGCAUCCGAACAGGAUGGAUUGGACAAGCAACCCAUCCGCAGCGAAAACAACAGUCCAGACGAUCUCACGCCCGACAAACCACCGGAGCAUAAGAACCUUCAUAAAAGGCUCGUCGCCACUGCAAGAAGUCUGAAGAAGCAAAAGCGGAAGCUCAAAACAGCGGAGGACGCACUCAGAGUGAGAUGGAGCAAAGUACUCAAUACCGUAGAUAAAUACGACAAUAGUCACCAGGCGAAGAGCUACCCGAAGCGCAAGUUGUUGCCUGAAUUUGACGAGGAGGCCGUAGAGCCCCCACAGUCAAAAAACAAAGACGCCGCCUAACCGGAUAGACGACCAGAUGACAGGCUAAGAGCGGCAAGGGGCGCCACACACAAGCCGGCACACGAUCCACAUGAAGAUCCUCGCAAAAAAGAUGGCCCGGUCAGGUCCAUCUACGGGCCAAAAAAGAAGACUCCAGGGAGCAAUACAACCCGCCGAGUGUUUGAAGACAACGGCACACCUAAAUACAGGGGCGCCGCACACCCACUAUGUUUCACCGAUGAGGUACUUGACCAUGAAUUUCCAGCGGGAUUCAAACCUGUCAACAUAGAGGCAUAUGACGGAACAACAGACCCCGGAGUCUAGAUUGAGGAUUAUAUCCUACACAUACAUAUGGCCAGAGGAGACGAUCUCCAUGCCAUAAAAUACCUACCCCUCAAGCUCAAAGGGCCAGCUCGGCAUUGGCUCAAAAGCCUCCCAAAAAAUACCAUUGGAAGUUGGGAGGAGCUCGAGGAUGCGUUUCGAGCAAAUUUUCAGGGGACUUAUGUCCGCCCUCCGGAUGCAGACGAUUUAAGUCACAUAACUCAACAGCCCGGAGAGUCAGCACGAAAAUUCUGGAACAGGUUCCUCACCAAAAAGAACCAAAUAGUCGAUUGUCCGGACGCCGAAGCCUUAGUAGCCUUUAAGCACAACGUCCGAGACGAAUGGCUCGCCAGACACCUCGGCCAGGAAAAACCAAGAACAAUGGCCGCACUAACAAGCCUCAUGACCCGCUUUUGCGCGGGGGAAGACAACUGGCUGGCUAGAUGCAGCACCAGCGACCCGAGUACAUCCGAAGUCAGGGAUGGAAAUGGGAAGUCACGACGCAGAAAAGAUCAGUGCCGGAAUAAGGAAAAUGGCCCAAAUAGCACGGCGGUCAACGCCGGAUUCAAAAGCUCUUGGCCGAAUAAUAAAACACUGCCCCUCAAGGACAACAGUGACGAGCUAUCCAACCUAAACAAAAUUUUGGAUAGGGUAUGUCAAAUACAUAGUACCCCCGGGAAGCCUGCAAACCAUACCCAUAGAGAUUGUUGGGUCUUCAAGCAGUCCGGCCGGCUUAACGCCGAACGCAAGGGGUUCGACACACCAAGCGAAGACGACGAACCCCACAAGCAGCACGCCGGAAAACAGAAGACUUUCCCGCUAGAAGUCAAAACAGUGAACUCGCUUCAUGUGAUAACACAGAAACAUAGUGCGGCACCUGCUAUACCAGCACACCGUCCGCAGAAUGGGGAUAGACCCUACCGAAAUUCACAAUAGCGGCACUUCCUUCAAAGGAGUGACGCCUGGCCUUUACGCCAAAUGUACAGGCUCUGUAUCACUAGAGGUCGUGUUCGGUUCAUCCGACAACCUCCAUCGCGAAAAGCUCAUUUUCCAUAUCGCCCCAUUCAAAAGUAGCUAUCAAGCACUACUGGGACGCGAAGCAUUCGCCAGCUUUAACGCAAUACCGCAUUACGUGUCUCUUACGCUUAAAAUGCCUGGUCCAUACGGCAUAAAUCUCAGCUAAGGGUAAAUCUGAGUGUUCCUCGACCAUGGAAAACGUGAGACUGUGUUGACAGCCGCACACUAAUCCGACCCUGCUGGUCAAAACCCUAAAAACAGGUCAUUCAGACCUUGGACACGGUUAGGCGAGUCCGGCAUAAAUAAACAAGGGGCUUCACCGCCGCAUACCCCUUUUCAAGGGGCUGCACGUAUAAACAAUGAGAGCCAAUAAAGCUCAUAUUCAUCAUACUUUAUUUUAACUACACCUUUUGCACGAUAUUUUUCCAAACUAAGUUCUUCUCCUUUACAGAUGAAGCGCGUGCUACACCCGUCCAGGAUACAGCACAACGGAGACACAGGCGCAGACGUGCAGCAGGGACCCAUUACAAGGAUUCUUUUCAGAUUAAGACCCUGCGUAAACCUUUCUUACUGUCUCUUGUUGAUACACAUCCCCCGGUUUCUUACCAUAACCGAGGAGGAGGCUGGCGUUUUGGCAUCGGCCGCGUCAGAAGUUCCCGCCCGUACCUGGACACUAGGGGCUUAGGGCAUUGUUCUGCCCGGUAUCAUAAAGACCGAACACCUCAGGGAGUGCUCGGCGUCUCGAGUUAGGCCUUAUAUGCAUCAGCUCCGAAACAUGUCUUUGGUCAAAUGUUGGGUUUGCCCGGCUCCUGUGUUUUGCUGCCUUACGUUCCGCUCCAUCGGCUAACGCGGCACCAGGAGAACUACUGCGAUUGUGCCCCGGUUCGGCCGGGCGAGCACCUCAGUAGAGAAAGCCAAAAACUGACUGUCAUGAUAUAGCGAGAGACUGGUCAACCACUGGAUUGUUUAGAAUUCCUCCGCUUUGAUGAAGGACCACUUCCCGGUCAGGCACAUACGCGCCCCGAGUUCGGAGAAGCGCGGUGCCUCUAGGGGCUAUAUAGUAGCCCCACCUUCGAGCUCCUAUGACUAAGUGAAAGUGAUAAAGCAUUAUAGUCCGGUUGCCUAGUUUGCUACGCUAUCACCUCCUUCAAAGGACCAAGACGUUGGAUUAAGUGUGAAAAAGCGCUGUUCUUUUUGCAAACACCCCCGCACCAUGUGCGUGGGGGCUGAAGCCAAAGAUUGCCAUCUUUCAGGUUAUACAUACAUAUACUGCCGCACAGGAGAUAGUUCAAUACUUGAACGCACAAGUAUAAAAAGCUAUUGCAUUAUAAACAUGAUCUCACAAAUCAUACACGUCAUUUGAACAUAACAUCCUUCGAGCACUGCGACUCUAUUAAAUGAGCGCCCUACAGGACUCCCUCAAAAUAGUGCUCGGCGGGUAAUCGGCCUUUGUCCGAACCCCGGGAUGCAACAGCGGUGGCAUCCAUCUCCGCCCAGUAUGUCUUAACAUGGGCGAGAGCCAUCCGUGCACCUUCUAUGCAUGCCGACCGCUUCAUCGCCUCGAUAUGCGGCACCGCCCCAAGGAAUUGCUGCAACAAGCCAAAAUAACUCUCAGGCUUGGGCCUUUCCGGCCAGAGAUGAGCGACCACAUCUGUCAUGGCAAGUCCGGACAAUCUAUUCAGCUCAGCCCACUCAGCCAGCCGAUCAGUCAACGGAAGUGGAUGCUCCGGACUAUGGAAUUGAGACCAGAAAAGCUCUUCCAUUUCGUGAUCCUUCUGGCUUCGGAAGUGCACGACUGCGUCCGCCGCACUCGCCGCCAAAUCCAGAUAAGGAUCCUCCGCACCACACAAUUGGCCCAACUGAGCAUACUUUGGAUCCGUGAACUUCCUACGCAGCAGAAAGGGCUUUCCAGCCGCAAUGUCUCCGGCUUGACGCAGUUCUUCCUUCAUAGCCCGCAUCGCACUAUGGGCAUCCUUGGCUUCGGCGGCGGCCUUCUUUAGGUCCUCUUGCUCCACUCGGCGUUCUCUUUCAAGAACCUCAUAGCGGUCGGUAGCAUCUUUUAAUUUCACGGCCAUUCCGGCCAUCUCCUCCCUGCUUCGGCAGUGAGCAGCCUUUUCGGCUUUUAGCUCUUCCGCUGCCCUCGAGGCAGCCACAUCACUUUUCCUGGCUUGCUCCUUGGCUCGAGCGAGCUCUGCUCGAAGGUCUUCCAUAGCAGCGGCACCAUCUGCAUCAAGCAUACAAAUUGUAAGGAACGGGCAUCAGCUCCCUUACUAGGUGACCGCGGAGCAACCACCUACCUUGUGACUCGUUAAGUCAUUUAUUGACCAGCGCGAUGUCCGCAUCCGCAACGUCAAGUUGCCACUUCAGCUCGGCAACUCCAUCAGUCCGGCUGGCCACCGAACGUUCCGCCACCUACAUAGAAAAGGCGACAUUCUAUAACUGAGAUGAUGAUCCUCGGCACGCGGUCGCUUUCGACAGCAUACCAAGUCUCAGGGGCUACUAUCUAUAUAGGGCGCACUCCAUGUGCAAAACUAUCAAAAGGUAUGUCAUUUUUUGCGUACCUCAAGCCCCGUCAGCAAACUUCCGACGGCCUCAUUCAACCCGCUCUCAUCGGAUGAGAUCCUUUCAAUCACCAUACUCAUUAAUAUGCGGUGAUCUUCUAAGAUAGACGCCCUCUUGAGCAAAUCCCGCAGCUCCACCGGCCAUACUCCAGUGGGUGCCGAAAUCCCCGGCCCCGCCGGACUCGGGGAGACCCUCCGUGACACACCUCAGGGUCGUCCGCCCUGCCCGACAGUGCGGCAGAUGGAGGCAUUUCGCUCUCCAUCAUCUCCGGACGAAGGUCCCCUGAAGAUGAGCUCUGCUGAGAUGGGCUGAGAUCCGAACUACAAGGUGAAAACUUCGGUUACCCUUAGAAAUAAAGCAGGGGUGUCCCCUAUUACAAAAUUCCCAAUUUUUACUUACGGCUCGCUGGAGGGCUGAUUCUUCUGAGGAGACAGUGCUGCCGGGUCUCUUCCCGGCACAGGACCUUCCGGUGCAGAUUUCUUUCCCCGCUUUAAGGCCUUGGCCUCCGGGUCUUCGGAAGCGAUCCUCUUCUCCCCCUGGAAGGAGGGACUCUCGAUUCCCCCCUUACUGAAAGCCUCCUUGGCAGAGGUGGUAGUUUCCCUGUGCCCCCCUUCGCCCUCCUCCGAAGGUGCAACCUCCAACAUUUUGAUUAACACGGGAUCUGACGUGGUCUCAGGGAGGGGGGCCGGACACCGUAUCAGUUUUGCUUGCGCUAUCCACUCCUGUCCAAGGGAUAGCUGGUUAAAAGGCAAAUCCAUGAUAAAUAAAUUGACAAUGUGUCUAGACACAGGGCUACUUACUUGAGUAUCCGGGCGAUUGCAGCUUAGGCCAGCAUCCUCGGUCAAGUCCGGACGCAUCUCUUGCGAUCCGAAGAACAGUUUGUACAUCUCCACGGGCAUCAAACCCAUGAAGUUUUGGAGAUCCCGUGGCCCCUCCGGAUUAAAUUCCCACAGGCGGAGGGGGCGACGUUUGCAGGGCAGAAGGCGCUGAAUCAGCAUAACCUGUGCCACAACAACCAGAUUGAUCUCCCUUUCCUGGAGGCCUCGAAUUCGGCCCUGCAACAGGGGUACGUCUUUGGACGGCCCCCAGUCAAGCCCCUUGUUGACCCAUGACGUCAGCCGUUGUGGAGGGCCCGGGCGAAAGACGGGCGGCGGCCUCUGCCUGCUGCCCCUGGGAGCGGUGAUAUAGAACCACUCCUGUUGCCACAAGCCGAGCUCCUCUUGAAAAGAGCCCUCGGGCCAUGGAGCAUCAACCCUCUUGCUUAUAACCGGCCCGCCGCACUCUGCCUGACGCCCCUCAAUCAUCUUCGGCUCCACGUUGAAGGUUUUGAGCCACAAGCCGAAGUGAGGGGUAGUGCGGAGGAAGGCUUCGCAGACGACAAUGAAUGAUGAGAUGUGGAGGAUGGACUCCGGAGCCAAGUCAUGGAAUUCCAGCCCAUAGUAAAACUUGAGCCCCCUCACGAAGGGAUCCAUCGGGAAGCCUAAACCCCAACGGAGGUGAUACACAAACACGACGCUCUCGCCGGGCUCGGGAGUAGGAAUAACUUGCCCUCGGGCAGGCAACCUAUGCGAAAUCUCGUAGGUUAAGUACCUGGCGUCUCUCAGCUUUAGCACGUCCUCUUCCGUGACGGAGGAGGGCAUCCACCGGCCUGUAGGUCAGAGCCGGACAUUGUCGAAGGUCGAAAGUACCCAAUCUGGAGCCCUGGGUGUUGGAACUCGGGGCGAGGGGCGGAUUCGAUUGAGGAUUGAAGAAAAAGAACGGGCCUUGGUCUCAUUAUAAAGAGGGAGAAUACCAAGAGCCGUCCCCGUAACCGUUUGGAACCCGCCUUCGAUGGAGGGGGCGUGGCAACGAGCGCGGUUGGGUUACCCACGUCCGUAUUGAUGAGAAUCCCGGAAUAAGGGGAAUACGAUCUCUGCUUCGAUAAGACGUGCCAAGGAAACCGCUUCGCUAAACACGCUGAGGUGGUACAAUAAAAAUGAUUCGAGUAAAGGCUUGGUAGUGGUGUGACGUCACGCCACCAAAUACGUCAGCAUAUUGAACUUGUGUAAAUAUUAUUCUCUUUACGGUGGUAUGUGGAAUUUAUUUUGCAGAGCCGGACACUAUCCUGGUGUUCACAAUCUUCUAUAAAUUAUUCGGAGAAGGAACCCGCCUUGCAAUGCCGAAGACAACAUGCGCGUCGGACUCAUCGUCAUUGAAGCCUGGUUCCGGGGCUACUGAGGGAGUCCUGGACUAGGGGGUGUCCGGAUAGCCGAACUAUCAUCAUCGGCCGGACUCCAAGACUAUGAAGAUACAAGAUUGAAGACUUCGUCGCGUGUCCGGAUGGGACUUUCCUUGGCGUGGAAGGCAAGCUUGGCAAUUCGGAUAUGUAGAUCUCCUACCAUUGUAACCGACUCUGUGUAACCCUAGUCCUCUCCGGUGUCUAUAUAAACCGGAUGGCUUUAGUCCGUAGGACGAACAACAAUCAUACCAUAGGCUAGCUUCUAGGGUUUAGCCUCCUUGAUCUCGUGGUAGAUCUACUCUUGUAAUACCCACAUCAUCAAUAUCAAUCAAGCAGGACGUAGGGUUUUACCUCCAUCAGGAGGGCCCGAACCUGGGUAAAACAUCGUGUCCCUUGUCUCCUGUUACCAUCCGCCUAGACGCACAGUUCGGGACCCCCUACCCGAGAUCCGCCGGUUUUGACACCGACAUCAGCAGGGAAGGAUGGCUUCAUGAGGAAGAAGGUACUUCAAAGAUACAUGGAAGUAAGCAGUGGAGUGAAUCUGGCACAUACAAGUACCCUCAAAGCUGCGGAUGUUCGUUUGGCGUCUAGCCAGGCAGUCGAUGCCUACAGGUGAGGUUCUACAUCACCGUAACAUGACCGACGAAAAUACAUGCCACUUAUGUGGAGCUAUGGACACAUGGAGACAUGCGCUGUUGAAUUGCUCGAUGUCUAGGAACAUCUGGGCUUUAGCUCCCGAUGACUUUGUUGAAAAGGUGAUAAGCUGCCAGCAAGAUAGUCCGAAGCAGUGGUUGUUUGCUCUACACGAUAUGCUACGGCCUGAAGAGUUCAUUCGCCUUGUGGUUACAACAUGGGCGACAUGGAGUGCAAGGAGGAAGGCGAUCUAUGAGGACAUUUUUCAGUCUCCAUACUCCACGAACGGCUUCAUCACGAGUUACUUGUCAGAACUACAGCAGAUCAACAAGAGGUUACCAAGGCCAAUUACUACAUCUGUGCCGAGACCAAAACGCUGGCUACCUCCGGUCCAAGGAUGUGCCAAAAUUAAUGUGGAUGCAGCGCUGUCGAGAGGAGGUACGUAUGGUGCGGUUGCAGCUGUGUGUAGGGACCAACAUGGCCUGUUUCUUGGAGCCUCGGUCGUUGGUUUCCGACAAAUCAAUGAUCCUCAAACACUAGAAUCCCUAGCCAUCAGGGAAGCACUAGCUUUGGCGGAAGACUUAUACGUUCAAAGUAUUCAUGUGGGCUCCGAUUGCAAAACGGUGGUAGAAGAUAUACAGAGCAGUACUUCAGCUUCAUAUGGUGCGGUGAUACAUGAAAUCAUAGAACAUUCUGCUAGUUUUCAUCUUUGUAAAAUAGUUCAUGAAUUUAGGAGCUCAAACUUUGAGGCUCACAACUUAGGGAACCAUGCUUUAUCUCUCGGGGGUGUCCGCCAUGUCUGAUUAGGUCAUCCUGGAGAUCUUUUUUUCGUCCCUGUAAACAUUGUGACGGAUUAAUAAAAGCUUCGCGAGGUUGUCUCAAAAAAAAAUUACUCAUGAUUUUUUGACACUCCAUAGUGUCUAAAAAGGUCCUACAUUCUGACACAAAGGGAGUAAAUCAUAACAAAGUUGUCGGUUUUGCAACAUUUUUCCUUGAUUACUCAUGACUUUGUUAAAAAGAAUCUCCUCAUCCCUCCCUAAUUUUCUCAUCUUCAAUUUUCAAUGUCAUUUUCAGUAAAGAAACUGAGUUCCGUAUAAAUCAUAGUUUCCUCAGUUUUCCCCCAAUUUAUCUUCAAAUUCGUUGAGUUUUUGUUAAAAAAAGUUCCAUUUCCCCUACUUUUCUUUAUAUUCAUCUUUUGAUGAUAGUUAGGUUGCCACGUGUGCACAGUCACUGUCACAUCGUCGUUCUGAAAAGUUGGUUUUGCUUGGCUUCAUAGGUGAAGCCGAAAUGGCCAAAUAUGGAGUCCAAGAUAAGGAUGUAGGCGUGUCCGCGAAGUCCAUGACCGUCUUAGUGACUGAAUAUAAGCUAAUCGUUGCUACUUAUAUUCAUGUUGAUACAAAAUCGAUCAAUGUGGUUGGUCGCGGACUUCACGAAUGAUUAUCCCUGCACCCGUAAGUUGAGGUAAUCCUGUUAUACAGAAAGAUACUUUCUCCGUUCAGAAUUACUUGUCGCUCAAACGGAUGCAUCCGUUAGUGAUAGAUGUAUCCAUUUGAGCGACAAAUAACUCCAGACGGAGAAGUUAAUCUAAGCUAGACAAGACGGAAUACAGAUCCACACUGAAAGAACAUGAGCACCCCAAUUCGGAUGCUCAAUAGGAAAUGCUACUCAUCAUCAACUUACCAUCGAGCACAAGCAUCUGAGUAAUUUGAACUAAAACCACAACAAUUAUUAUGGAAUCGAGGGAGUACAUAAACUGAUCCCGUUGCACACGCACAGUACCGUCAGUUCGUUUGGUGACACACACCGGAAACCAUACGCGAUGGCCACCUAUAUGCGUACACGUAGUUUCGUGUCGCUGUGCCCACUGUACCUGGUCGUUGAUUAGUCUACCACUUAAGAAAAAGCCGAAUUCGUCCAUCUAUUUGAAAAUUCAAAAGGCUAGCCUUUCUAAAGUCUUCGCUGUAUAUGAGAGGUUCGGGGACCUUCUAUUUUAGCCCGCUGCGCGACCGCGAACCAGCCAACGAGUGCCCACCUUCGCCCCGUGUCUUUUUGGGACCGGCCCAUGUACGGGGCAGGACAUUUUGUUUUUCAUUUUUUAGAUUUUAGUCUUUAUCUUCAAAAAGGUUUCAACUUUUUCUAACAAAUCGUGAAAUUUGGAAAAACGUUCCAGAAACCAGAAACAUUUGUGGAUUAAAAAACUUGAUGUUGGAAAAUGUUUGCAUAUUCAAAAAAUGUUCACAGUUUUGAAAAUAAUUGUUCGAGAAAUCAAAAUGUUCAUCAUUCACGUAUUAAAAAAUAAUUGUGAAUCGAACAAAUGUUCUCAAAUUUGAUAAUUUUUUGUGUAAUUUUAGAAGAAUGUUCAGAAAAUUCAAAAAUGGUUCAUGAAUUACAAAAAUGUUCAUUCAAACUAUUUUCUGAUUCAAAAAAUGUUCAUGAAUUACAGAAAAGUCCACUGAUUCAAAAAAUGUGCUGACUCAAAAUGUCGUUUUAAAAAAUGUGCAAAAAUUUCCUUAAUUUCAAAAAUGUUUGCUAGUUCAAAAAUUAUUCACAAUCUCAAAAAUGAUCAUGAAUUUCAGAAAACAUUGUUCAUGAAUUUGUAAAAUGUUCAUGGUAUAAAAAAAUUCAUGGAUUUGUAAAAAUUAUUCGCGAAUUCAAAACUUAUUCUCGAUUUCAUAAAAAUGUUUGGGAAUUUAAAAAGUGUUCAUGAUUUUAAAAAUAUUCACGAAUUAGCAAAGAUAUUCACAUAAUAAAAAGAAAAGAAAACAAACAUGACAAAAAAAACGAAAAGAACGAAAAUGAGAAAAGCAAAAAAAUGAAAGAAAAACACAAAAAAGAGAAAAAAAAGUAUGCGAAGUUUCUAGAACCUUCCAAACCAGAAAGGAGCUAGUUGGACUGGCCCAAAUUGUACUUAGCCAGAAGCGGGGCUAUGCGGGCAGGCCUGCGAGUUGGGGCAAGGGCUACAACUCGUGCUUCUGCUCUGUCGAGAGCCUCGCCCGCAUCGCUUUAGAGCUUGAGGUCAUGGCGGGUGUGGUGCAUGGAGGAGAAACUGGAUCGGACUGGACAUGGUGUGUCAUGGAUCGAGUCGCACAUGUCCACCUAUAAGUAGCGGGCACCGGCGAGGACACACGUCAUGGUGCGUCAAUGCAUGCGUCGGAGUUGGUUUCUCGGCCACCAUGCGGCAAGCGGAUGAACGGGGCAACCAAUAUGAAUGUGACAGAUAGUCAUCUCAGCCUGUCUAGUCAAGUCACUCCGGCAUUGAACAUGCGCGAAGAACGGGAAGCGGGCGCGAGCGUGCUCUCGGUCGGUGGCUACUUCAAUGCCAGCUCUAGUGACCGGUCGCGUCCACUCUAGACCAACAUGAUUGCGGUGCGUGAAGCGGAGGGUUGUUGAUGCAUGAUAUUAUUUUGGGUGGGAUCGGGAGGUCGAACGCAUACAUGGUGAUGAUCCAGACGACUGAAAAGCCCCUGGUUUGCUUUCGGUUUACAAGAAAAUGAACGCGUGUCGGAUGGCAAACUACGUUUAGACUAUUCGGCCCGAUAGUUAUGGACAAAUUGAGAAUCCACGUUAGAGAUGCCUUUAAUUAGCGUUGUGCACCAAACGGGCUAAUUAAGCAAGGGCAUACGGCAACAAAACUGUAUAGGUAGGUGAUACACGGCGUAGCACCUCACUUGUCAUAUAGUAGUAUUUUUAUUAUAAACAAAUAUAUCAAAGUCAAAAUUAAAGAAGUCGCCGCAUAAUUUUUGCUAUCAGCAUGAACGUUAUCUUCCAAUGAUAAAAUAAUAUGCAUCAAUAAGACAUCAAAAUGUUGAACUUGAGAUUUGAUUUCUGACGAACCACAAAUAUCAAGGCCCCUCCAACUAUCCAACCAAUAGGGGUGUGUUUAGCUGCCUACAUCGUUUUAUGCGUCUUUAUAUGUGUGACAUAACUAAACUUGGCUGAGCAAAUGCAGACUAAAAACCAUGUCUUGCAUGUAGUUUGCCAGAUAGCAAGAACGACGUAGUUAGCAUUGUGAUCAAACCAAUAACACCCUAACUAGCAUUGUAAUCAUACCAAAAACACCCUAACUGGCAAACUAGCAUUGUCAUGCCUCUCCCCCCUACCCCAACAACCUAGUUAAUGUAGGGAAGUAGCAUGAACAUCCUAGGCAGGUAUAUAUCAUGGCUCCAAAUUGACUAGAAUAGAUUGGAUUCGAAUCCAAUCCGAUCGAUUCGAAACGAGGCAAAAAAUCAUAACUAGUAAUGGGAGCACGGGGAACAAAUAACUUAGCAGAGCGGUUACCGCCGAAGAGAACGCCAGUCGUGGACCAAACCCUAGCAAGAAUAGGGGUCCGACUGAUGCAGAUAGCCCGGCCAUUGCAGGGCCCAGUUCAAUGGCCCUCGGCAUUGCAUCGGUGCUCCUCAUGAUGUGCACAGUGGAGGAGAAGGGUGUCAUCGUCGAUGCUCCGACCGCACUCCCUAGAGCAAGGGGGGAAACCCUAUCGGCAAGGUCGAUGGGCUUCUCGCAACCGCCACCAUCACAGUAGACGAGCUUUCCCCCACAGCCAUACCGACUGACAUGAACCCCGACGAUGCGUCGAUGGUCACUGACUGCGUCUUGGUGUAGGGGGAAGGGGGACGGAUAGCCGCCAUGAGGUCAAUGCUUUGCCGGGCCAGGCCGGCCACCCACUGGUCUUGGAUGGGGUUGCUACCUGCGAGGACGAAAGUUGGACGUGCGAUUAAGGGUCGGCCAUGGGAGAGCACGAACGGGUAGAGAGAGAGAGAGAGAGAGAGAGAGAGAGAGAGAGAGAGAGAGAGAAAGAGGUGAAUGGGAGUGGACGGUGACCAAAGAGAGGGGAGGAAUUAUGAGACCUCGCGUCACCUCCUCUCCCAUGCUUCCCAACACAUGCAGACGAGGACUACACAUGCGUCAACCAAGUUUGGCUCGCGGAAAUCGGUCGUUCCCACUCAGCCUGGUCCUGGACUGCUUUAAGUACCAUGCAUGCCGAGAAACGCAGGCAACCUAUGAUGGAAAUAUGCCCUAGAGGCAAUAAUAAAGUUAUUAUUUAUUUCCUUAUUUCAUGAUAAAUGUUUAUUAUUCAUGCUAGAAUUGUAUUAACCGGAAACAUGAUACAUGUGUGAAUACAUAGACAAAACAUAUAGUCACUAGUAUGCCUCUACUUGACUAGCUCAUUAAUCAAAGAUGGUUAUGAUUCCUAACCAUAGACAUGUGUUGUCAUUUGAUUAAUGGGAUUACAUCAUUAGGAGAAUGAUGUGAUUGACAUGACCCAUUCCGUUAGCCUAGCACUUGAUCGUUUAGUAUGUUGCUAUUGCUUUCUUCAUGACUUAUACAUGUUCCUAUAACUAUGAGAUUAUGCAACUCCCGUUUACCGGAGGAACACUUUGGGUGCUACCAAACGUCACAACGUAACUGGGUGAUUAUAAAGGAGUACUACAGGUGUCUCCAAAGGUACAUGUUGGGUUGGCGUAUUUCGAGAUUAGGUUUUGUCACUCCGAUUGUCGGAGAGGUAUCUCUGGGCCCUCUCGGUAAUGCACAUCACUAUAAGCCUUGCAAGCAAUGUAGCUAAUGAGUUAGUUACGGAAUGAUGCAUUACGUAACGAGUAAAGAGACUUGCCGGUAACGAGAUUGAACUAGGUAUUGGAUACCGACGAUCGAAUCUCGGGCAAGUAACAUACCGAUGACAAAGGGAACAACGUAUGUUGUUAUGCGGUUUGAUCGAUAAAGAUCUUCAUAGAAUAUGUACGAGCCAAUAAGGGCAUCCAGGUUCCGCUGUUGGUUAUUGACCAAGAAUAGUUCUAGGUCAUGUCUACAUAGUUCUCGAACCCGUAGGGUUUGCACGCUUAAGGUUUCGAUGACAGUUAUAUUAUGAGUUUAUGAGUUUUGAUGUACCGAAGGAGUUCGGAGUCCCGGAUGAGAUCGGGGACAUGACGAGAAGUCUCGAAAUGGUCGAGAUGUAAAGAUCGAUAUAUUGGACGACUAUAUUCGGAGUUCAGAAAGGUUCCGAGUGAUUCGGGUAUUUUUCGGAGUACCGGAGAGUUACGGGAAUUCGCCGGGGAGUAUAUGGGCCUUAUUGGGCCAUACGGGAAUAGAGGAGAGAGGCCAAAAGGAAGGAGGCCUGCGCCCCUCCUCUGGUCCGAAUUGGACAAGGGGUGCAGCCCCCCUUUCCUUCUUCCUCUCCCCCUCUUUCCCCUUCUCCUACUCCAACAAGGGAGGUGGAAUCCUACUAGGACUAGGGAGUCCUAAUAGGACUCCACACUUGGCGCGCCCCCUCCUAGGGCCGGCCACCUCCCCCCUUGCUUCUUUAUAUAUGGGGGCAGGAGGGCACCCCAGAACAACACAAGUUGAUCUACGGAUCGUUCCUUAGCCGUGUGCGGUGCCCCCCUCCACCAUAUUCCACCUCGGUCAUAUUGUCGCGGAGUUUAGGCGAAGCCCUGCGCCUGUAGAGCAUCAUCAUCGUCACCACGUUGUCGUGCUGACGGAACUCAUCCCCGAAGCUUUGCUGGAUCGGAGCCCGGGGAUCGUCAUCAAGCUGAACGUGUGCUGAACUCGGAGGUGCCGUACGUUCGGUACUUGGAUCGGUCGGAUCGUGAAGACGUAUGACUACAUCAACCGUGUUGUCAUAACACUUCCGCUUACGGUCUACGAGGGUACGUGGACAACACUCUCCUGUCUCGUUGCUAUGCCAUCACCAUGAUCUUGCGUGUAUGUAGGAAUUUUUUUGAAAUUACUACGUUCCCGAACAGUGGCAUCCGAGCCUGGUUUUAUGCGUUGAUGUUAUAUGCACGAGUAGAACACAAGUGAAUUGUGGGCGAUACAAGUCAUACUGCUUACCAGCAUGUCAUACUUUGGUUCGGCGGUAUUGUGAGAUGAAGCGGCCCGGACCGACAUUACGCGUACGCUUACGCGAGACUGGUUUCACCGUUGCGAGCACUCGUGCUUAAAGGUGGCUGGCGGGUGUCUGUCUCUCUCACUUUAGCUGAAUCGAGUGUGGCUACGCCCGGUCCUUGCGAAGGUUAAAACAGCACCAACUUGACAAACUAUCGUUGUGUUUUUUGAUGCGUAGGUAAGAACGGUUCUUGAUAAAGCCCGUAGCAGCCACGUAAAAUUUGCAACAACAAAGUAGAGGACGUCUAACUUGUUUUUGCAGGGCAUGUUGUGAUGUGAUAUGGUCAAGACGUGAUGCUAUAUUUUAUUGUAUGAGAUGAUCAUGUUUUGUAACCGAAGUUAUCGGCAACUGGCAGGAGCCAUAUGGUUGUCGCUUUAUUGUAUGAAAUGCAUACGCCCUGUAAUUGCUUUACUUUAUCACUAAGCAGUAGCGAUAGUCGUAAAAGCAAUAGAUGGCGUAACGACAACGAUGCUACGAUGGAGAUCAAGGUGUCGCGCCGGUGACGAUGGUGAUCACGACGGUGCUUCGGAGAUGGAGAUCACAAGCACAAGAUGAUGAUGGCCAUAUCAUAUCACUUAUAUUGAUUGCAUAUGAUGUUUAUCCUUUAUGCAUCUUAUCUUGCUUUGAUUGACGGUAGCAUUUUAAGAUGAUCUCUCACUAAAAUUAUCAAAAAGUGUUCUCCCUGAGUAUGCACCGUUGCCAAAGUUCGUCGUGCCCAGACACCACGUGAUGAUCGUGUGUGAUAAGCUCUACGUCCAUCUACAACGGGUGCAAGACAGUUUUGCACACACGGAAUACUCAGGUUAAACUUGACGAGCCUAGCAUAUGCAGAUAUGGCCUCGGAACACGGAGACCGAAAGGUCGAGCAUGAAUCAUAUAGUAGAUAUGAUCAACAUAGUGAUGUUCACCAUUGAAAACUACUCCAUCUCACGUGAUGAUCGGACAUGGUUUAGUUGAUUUGGAUCACGUGAUCACUUAGAUGACUAGAGAGAUGUCUGUCUAAGUGGGAGUUCUUAAGUAAUAUGAUUAAUUGAACUUAAAUUUAUCAUGAACUUAGUCCUGGUAGUAUUUUGCAAAUUAUGUUGUAGAUUAAUAGCUCGCGUUGUUGCUUUCAUAUGUUUAUUUUGAUAUGUUCCUAGAGAAAAUUGUGUUGAAAGAUGUUAGUAGCAAUGAUGCGGAUUGGAUCCGUGAUCUGAGGUUUAUCCUCAUUGCUGCACAGAAGAAUUAUGUCCUUAAUGCACCGCUAGGUGACAGACCUAUUGCAGGAGCAGAUGCAGACGUUAUGAACGUUUGGCUAGCUCAAUAUGAUGACUACUUGAUAGUUUAGUGCACCAUGCUUAACGGCUUAGAAUCGGGACUUCAAAGACGUUUUGAACGUCAUGGACCAUAUGAGAUGUUCCAGGAGUUGAAGUUAAUAUUUCAAGCAAAUACCCGAGUUGAGAGAUAUGAAGUCUCCAACAAGUUCUAUGGCUAAAAGAUGGAGGAGAAUCGCUCAACUAGUGAGCAUGUGCUCAGAUUGUCUGGGUACUACAAUCGCUUGAAUCAAGUGGGAGUUAAUCUUCCAGAUAAGAUAGUGAUUGACAGAAUUCUCUAGUCACCAUCAACAAGUUAGUAGAACUUUGUGAUGAACUAUAGUAUGCUAGGGAUGAAGAAAACAAUUCCCGAGCUCUUCGUGAUGUUGAAAUCGACGAAGGUAGAAAUCAAGAAAGAGCAUCAAGUGUUGGUGAUUGACAAGACCACUAGUUUCAAGAAAAGGGCAAAGGGAAAGAAAGGGAACUUCAAGUAGAAUGACAAGCAAGUUGUCACUCCCACGAAGAAGCCCAAAGCUGAACCAAAGCCUGAAACUGAGUUCUUACACUGCAAAGGAAAUGGUCACUGGAAGCGGAAAUGCCCUGAAUAUUUGGUGGAUAAGAAGGAUGGCAAAGUGAAUAAGGGUAUAUUUGAUAUACAGGUUAUUGACGUGUGCCUUACUAGUGUUUAUAGUAGCUCCUGAGUAUUUGAUACUUGUUCGGUUGCUAAGAUUAGUAACUCGAAACAGGAGUUACAGAAUAAACAGAGACUAGUUGAAGGGGAAGUGACGAUGAGUGUUGGAAGUAGUUCCAAGAUUGAUAUGAUCAUCAUCGCACACUCCCUAUACUUUCGGGAUUAGUGUUAAACCUAAAUAAAUGUUAUUUGGCAUUUGCGUUGAGCAUGAACAUGAUUUGAUCGUGUUUAUUGCGAUACGGUUAUUCAUUUAAAGUUAGAGAAUAAUUUUUAUUCUGUUUACAUGAAUAAGACCUUCGAUGGUUAUACACCCAAUGAAAAUAGUUUGUUGGAUCUCGAUCAUAGUGAUACACAUAUUCAUAAUAUUGAUACCAAAAGAUGCAAAGUUAAUAAUGAUAGUGCAACUUAUUUGUGGCACUGCCGUUUGGGUCAUAUCGGUGUAAAGCGCAUGAAGAAACUCCAUAAAGAUGGAUUUUCGGAAUCACUUGGUUAUGAAUCAUUUGAUGCUUGCGAACCGUGCCUUUUGGGCAAGAUGACUAAAACUCUGUUCUCUGGAACAAUGGAACAAGCUACUGACUUAUUGGAAAUAAUACAUACCGAUGUAUGCGAUCCAAUGAGUGUUGAUGCUCGUGGCAAGUAUCGUUAUUUUCUUACCUUCACAAAAUGAUUUGAGCAGAUAUGGGUAUAUCUACUUGAUGAAACAUAAGUCUGAAAUAAUUGAAAAGUUCAAAGAAUUUCAGAGUGAAGUGGAAAAAUCAUUGUAACAAGAAAAUAAAGUUUCUACGAUCUGAUCGCGGAGGCGAAUAUUUGAGUUAUGAGUUUGGUCUUCAAUUAAAACAAUGUGGAAUAGUUUCACACCUCACGCCACCUGGAACACCACAACGUUAUGGUGUGUCCGAACAUUGUAACCGCACUUUAUUGGAUAUGGUGCGAUCUAUGAUGUCUCUUAUCGGUUUUACCACUAUCGUUUUGGGGUUGUGCAUUAGAGACAGCUGCAUUCACGUUUAAAAAGGGCACCAUCUAAAUCCGUUGAGACGACACCGUAUGAACUAUGGUUUAGCAGUAAACCUAAGCUGUCGUUUCUUAAAGUUUGGAGUUGCGAUGCUUGUAUGAAAAAGGUUUUCAACCUGAUAAGCUCGAACCCAAAUCGGAGAAGUGUGUCUUCAUAGAAUACCCAAAGGAAACUGUUGGGUACACCUUCUAUCACAGAUCCGAAGGCAAAGCAUUCGUUGCUUAGAAUGGAUCCUUUCUAGAGAAGGAGUUUCUCUCGAAAGAAGUGAGUGGGAGGAAAGUAGAACUUGAUGAGGUAACUGUACCUGCUCCCUUAUUUGAAAGUAGUUCAUCACAGAAAUCUGUUCCUGUGACUACUACACCAAUUAGUGAGGAAGUUAAUGAUGAUGAUCAUGAAACUUCAGAUUAAGUUACUACAGAAUCUCGUAGGUCUUACAGAGUAAGAUCCGCACCAGAGUGGUACGGUAAUCCUGUUCUGGAAGUUAUGUUACUAGACCAUGACAAACCUACGAACUAUGAAGAAGCGAUGGUGAGCCCAGAUUCCGCAAAAUGGCUUGAGGCCAUGAGAUCUGAGAUGAGAUCCAUGUAUGAAAACAAAGUAUGGACUUUGAUUGACUUGUCCAAUGAUCGGCGAGACAUUGAGAUUAAAUGGAUCGUCAAGAGGAAGACGGACACUGAUAGUAGUGUUACUAUCUACUAAGCUCGACUUGUUGCGAAAGGUUUUCAACAAGUUCAAGGUGUUGAAUAUGAUGAGAUUUUCUCACUCGUAUCGAAGCUUAAGUCUGUCUGAAUCAUGUUAGCAAUUGCCACAUUUUAUGAAAUCUGGCAAAUGGAUGUCAAAAUUGCAUUCCUUAAUGGAUUUAUUAAAGAAGAGUUGUAUAUGAUGCAACCAGAAAGUUUUUGUCAAUCCUAAAGAUGCUAACAAAGUGUGCAAGCUCCAGCGAUCCAUCUAUGGACUGGUGCAAGCAUCUCGGAGUUGGAAUAUACGCUUUGAUGAGUUGAUCAAAGCAUAUGGUUUUAUACAGACUUUUGGAAAGGCCUGUAUUUACAAGAAAUUGAGUGGGAGCACUACAGCAUUUCUGAUAAGUAUAUGUGAAUGACAUAUUGUUGAUCAGAAAUAAUGUAGAAUUAUUCUGCAAAGCAUAAAGGAGUGUUUUAAAGGAGUUCUUUAAAAGAAAGACCUCAAUAAAAGCUACUUACAUAUUGAGCAUCAAGAUCUAUUGAGAUAGAUCAAGACGCUUGAUAAGAUUUUUCAAUAAGUACAUACCUUGAUAAAAUUUUGAAAUAGUUCAAAAUAGAACAGUCAAAGAAGGAGUUCUUGCUUGUGUUACAAGGUGUGAAGUUGAGUAAGACUCAAGACCCGACCAUUGCAGAAAAUAGAAAGAGAAUGAAAAGUCAUUCCCUAUGCCUCAGUCAUAGGUUCUAUAAAGUAUGCUAUGAUGUGAGCCAGACCUAUUGUAUACCUUGCCCUGGUUUGGCAAGGGAGUACAAUAGUGAUCUAGAAGUAGAUCACUGGACAUUGGUCAAAAUUAUCCUUAGUGGAAUAAGGAUAUGUUUCUCGAUAAUGGAAGUGAUAAAAGAGCUCGUCGUAAAAGUUACAACGAUACAAGCUUUUACACCGAUCCAGAUGACUCUAAGUCUCAAUCUGGAUACAUAUUAAAAGUGGGAGCAAUUAGCUAGAGUAGCUCCGUGCAGAGCAUUGUAGACAUAGAAUAUUUGCAAAAUACAUACGGCUCUGAAUAUGACAGACCCGUUGACUAAGCUUCUCUCACGAGCAAAACAUGAUCAUACCUUAGUACUCUUUUGGGUGUUAAUCACAUAGCGAUGUGAACUAGAUUAUUGACUAUAGUAAACCCUUUGGGUGUUGAUCACAUGAUGAUGUGAACUAUGGGUAUUAAUCACAUGCAGAUGUGAAUAUUGGUGUUAAAUAACAUAGCGAUGUGAACUAGAUUAUUGACUCUAGUGCAAGUGGGAGACUGAAGGAAAUAUGCCCUAGAGGCAAUAAUAAAGUUAUUAUUUAUUUCCUUAUUUCAUGAUAAAUGUUUAUUAUUCAUGCUAGAAUUGUAUUAACCGGAAACAUGAUACAUGUGUGAAUACAUAGACAAAACAUAUAGUCACUAGUAUGCCUCUACUUGACUAGCUCAUUAAUCAAAGAUGGUUAUGUUUCCUAACCAUAGACAUGUGUUGUCAUUUGAUUAAUGGGAUUACAUCAUUAGGAGAAUGAUGUGAUUGACAUGACCCAUUCCGUUAGCCUAGCACUUGAUCGUUUAGUAUGUUGCUAUUGCUUUCUUCAUGACUUAUACAUGUUCCUGUAACUAUGAGAAUAUGCAACUCCCGUUUAUCGGAGGAACACUUUGGGUGCUACCAAACGUCACAACGUAAUUGGGUGAUUAUAAAGGAGUACUACAGGUGUCUCCAAAGGUACAUGUUGGGUUGGCGUAUUUCGAGAUUAGGUUUUGUCACUCCGAUUGUCGGAGAGGUAUCUCUGGGCCCUCUCGGUAAUGCACAUCACUAUAAGCCUUGCAAGCAAUGUAGCUAAUGAGAUAGUUACAGAAUGAUGCAUUACAUAACGAGUAAAGAGACUUGCCGGUAACAAGAUUGAACUAGGUAUUGGAUACCGACGAUCGAAUCUCGGGCAAGUAACAUACUGAUGACAAAGAGAACAACGUAUGUUGUUAUGCGGUUUGACCGAUAAAGAUCUUCAUAGAAUAUGUAGGAGCCAAUAUGGGCAUCCAGGCUCCGCUAUUGGUUAUUGACCAAGAAUAGUUCUAGGUCAUGUCUACGUAGUUCUCGAACACGUAGGGUCCGCACGCUUAAGGUUUCGAUGACAGUUAUAUUAUGAGUUUAUGAGUUUUGAUGUACCGAAGGAGUUCGGAGUCCCGUAUGAGAUCGGGGACAUGACGAGGAGUCUCUAAAUGGUCGAGACGUAAAGAUUGAUAUAUUGGACGACUAUAUUCGGAGUUCGGAAAGGUUCCGAGUGAUUCGGUUAUUUUUCGGAGUACCGGAGAGUUACGGGAAUUCGCCGGGGAGUAUAUGGGCCUUAUUGGGCCAUACGGGAAUAGAGGAGAGAGGCCAAAAGGAAGGAGGCCUGCGCCCCCCCCUCUGGUCCGAAUUGGACAAGGGGUGCAGCCCCCCUUUCCUUCUUCCUCUCCCCCUCUUUCCCCUUCUCCUACUCCAACAAGGGAGGUGGAAUCCUACUAGGACUAGGGAGUCCUAAUAGGACUCCACACUUGGCGCGCCCCCUCCUAGGGCCGGCCACCUCCCCCCUUGUUUCUUUAUAUACGGGGGCAGGAGGGCACCCCAGAACAACACAAGUUGAUCUACGGAUCGUUCCUUAGCCGUGUGCGGUGCCCCCCUCCACCAUAUUCCACCUCGGUCAUAUCGUCGCGGAGUUUAGGCGAAGCCCUGCGCCGGUAGAGCAUCAUCAUCGUCACCACGCACUGACGGAACUCAUCCCCGAAGCUUUGCUGGAUCGGAGCCCGGGGAUCGUCAUCAAGCUGAACGUGUGCUGAACUCGAAGGUGCCGUACGUUCGGUACUUGGAUCGGUCGGAUCGUGAAGACGUACGACUACAUCAACCGCGUUGUCAUAACGCUUCCGCUUACGGUCUACGAGAGUACGUGGACAACACUCUCCUCUCUCGUUGCUAUGCCAUCACCAUGAUCUUGCGUGUACGUAGGAAUUUUUUUGAAAUUACUACGUUCCCCAACAACCUAAUCUACCAAAUGACAGAUUUUUACAUCGCACAGGCCUCAUAGACAAUCAAACGCGUCCUAGAAGUAGGCUCUCCUGAUUUUGUUUUUUUUAAAUAAAUAACUUUAUUCCUCAUAUAAUAGCCAUGUCAUUUACAAUAUGUGGAAGAAUAAAGUCAAGGGGGUUGGAGUCCCAAAAUUGAGAUAAACCAAGACUAAAGCAGUGCUUUGCUAAACAAUCAGCAACACGAUUGGUUUCCCUUCUGCAAUGAACAAAGAUAACCUUUGAAAAGUCCAUCGCCAAUAGACUAGUCUAAGUGAUGAUUGGCACAUUGGGACCCAUGUAAGCAUCAAGGUCUGAAACUGCCUCCAAUGCAUUUAAACUAUCUGAUUCAAUGAUUAUAUUGAAGCACCCGAUAUUUGAAGCCAGAAUAAGACCAAUACCAAAUAGCCUUUUGUUAGAUCCUUGGGAUCGGAGUAGGCUAGAUCAUCCGGUAAACCUACCUUCUCCUGGUGCCGACGAGCUCGAUCCAGCGCCAGCCAUGGUGAUGUGGUGACGGCAGCGAUGUGGACAGAGAGAUGGCGAGAAGGUGGUGCUUCCCGUGAGCACCGCACUAACCCUAGAUCGGUAGGGCAUGUAGGUGGGGUUUGUGGCGGCGAUCAACUUCGUUAGUCGUGCUCUGGCCCCCACCUCUGUUAAUAUAGCACGGAUCACAGGGGCCCACCAACCAUAAUGGGUUGGGCGCCCCCGAUCAGGGUGCAUUGACCAAGGGCCUGGCAGGCUGUUGGGCCUGCAUAGAGGAGAUCAACCUAACAUUCUCCCCCUUGAUCUCAACACUUUUAACCUUAUACUUUCUAGUUUAUUUGUUUCAUCACAUAUUGGUGCAGAGAGCAUGUUUCAUCAUCACAACUCAAUUGCUGAUAGAAUCAUUCAGCUACAACAUACGUUUUGUUCAGAAACAAAUUCUGUUCCUUUUGGGCCUAUCCAGGAAUCAUAAGGUUUUCCCUUAAACCCAUGUCGGCUAAGUGUUCCUUGAACACACUGGGUGGUAAGCCUUUCGUUAGCGGAUUGAUACGUCCAUUUUGCAUCAUGCUUUUAUAUCGAUAUUUAUUGCAUUAUGGACUAUUAUUACACGUUAUGUCACAAUACUUAUGGCUAUUCUCUCUUAUUUUACAAGGUUUACAUGAAGAGGGAGAAUGCCAGCAGCUGGGAUUCUAGGAUGGAAAAGGAGCAAAUAUUGGAGACCUAUUCUGCAUAGCUCCAAAAGUCCUGAAACUCCACGAAAGUCAUUUUUGGAAUUAAUAAUAAAUAUUGAGCGGAAGAAGUACCAGAGGGGGCCCACACCCUGGCCACGAGGGUGGGGGCGUGCCCUACCCCCCUGGGCACGCCCCCUGCCUCGUGGGCCCCCUGGCAGCCCUCCGGUGCCCAUCUUCCGCUAUAUUAAGUCUUUUACCCUGGAAAAAAUCAGAAGCUAGCUUUUGGGACGAAACUCCGCCGCCACGAGGCAGAACCUUGGCGGAACCAAUCUUGGGCUCUGGCAGAGCUAUUCUGCCGGGGAAACUUCCCUCCGGGAGGGGGAAAUCACCACCAUCGUCAUCACCAACGAUCCUCUCAUCGGGAUGGGGUCAAUCUCCAUCAACAUCUUCACCAGCACCAUCUCCUCUCAAACCCUAGUUCAUCUCUUGUAUCCAAUCUUUGUACCAAAACCUUAGAUUGGUACCUGUGGGUUGCUAGUAGUGUUGAUUACUCCUUAUAAUUGUUGCUAGUUGGUUUAUUCGGUGGAAGAUCAUUUGUUCAGAUCCUUAAUGCAUAUUAAUACCCCUCUGAUCAUGAACAAGAAUAUGCUUUGUGAGUAGUUACGUUUGUUCCUGAGGACAUGGGUGAAGUCUUGCUAUUAGUAGUCAUGUGAAUUUGGUAUUUGUUUGAUAUUUUGAUGAGAUGUAUGUUGUAUCUCCUCUUGUGGUGUUAUGUGAACGUCGACUACAUGACACUUCACCAUUAUUUGGGCCUAGAGGAAGGCAUUGGGAAGUAAUAAGUAGAUGAUGGGUUGCUAGAGUGACAGAAGCUUAAACCCUAGUUUAUGAGUUGCUUCGUAAGGGACUGAUUUGGAUCCAUAUGUUUCAUGCUCUGGUUAGGUUUACCUUAAUACUUCUUUUGUAGUUGCGGAUGCUUGCAAUAGGGGUUAAUCAUAAGUGGGAUGCUUGUCCAAGAAAGGGCAGUACCCAAGCACUGGUCCACCCACAUAUCAAAUUAUCAAAGUAACGAACGUGAAUCAUAUGAGCGUGAUGAAAACUAGCUUGAGGAUAAUUCCCAUGUGUCCUCGGGAGCGCUUUUCUCUAUAUACGAACUUGUCCAGGCUUGUCCUUUUCUACAAAAAGGAUUGGGACACCUUGCCGCACCUUAUUUACUUUCAUUGCUUGUUACCCGUUACAAAUUACCUUAUCACAAAACUAUCUGUUACCGAUAAUUUCAGUGCCUGUAGAGAAUACCUUACCGAAAACCGCUUGUCAUUUCCUUCUGCUCCUCGUUGGGUUCGACACUCUUACUUAUCGAAAGGACUGCGAUAUAUUCCCUACACCUGUGGGUCAUCAAUACUCUUUUCUGGCACCGUUGCCGGGGAGUGAAGCGCCUUUGGUAAGUGGAACUUGGUAAGGAAACAUUUAUAUAGUGUGCUGAAAUUUACUGUCACUUGUUACUAUGGAAUAUAAUCCUUUGAGGGGCUUGUUCGCGUAUCUUCACCCCGACCAGUAGAGAAAAGAUUUGCUCCUCAACCUACUGAACCUACUGAAAUUUUUUACUUUGAAAUUCCUUCGGGUAUGGUAGAGAAACUGCUAGCUAAUCCCUUUGCAGGAGAUGGAACAUUGCAUCCCGAUUUACACCUAAUCUAUGUGGAUGAAGUUUGUGGAUUAUUUAAGCUUGCAGGUAUUCUUGAUGAUGUUAUCAAAAAGAAGGUCUUCCCUUUAUCUUUGAAGGGAGAUGCAUUGACAUGGUAUAGGCUAUGUGAUGAUAUGGGAUCAUGGGACUACAAACGAUUGAAAUUGGAAUUUCACCAGAAGUUUUAUCCUAUGCAUCUUGUUCAUCGUGAUUGUAAUUAUAUAUAUAAUUUUUGACCUCGCGAAGGAGAAAGCAUCGCUCAAGCUUGGGGGAGGCUUAAGUCAAUGUUAUAUUCAUGCCCCAAUCAUGAGCUCUCAAGAGAAAUGAUUAUUAAAAAGUUUUAUGCUCGGCUUUCUCUCAACAAUCGAUCCAUGCUCGAUACUUCUUAUGCUGGUUCUUUUAUGAUGAAAACUAUUGAAUUCAAAUGGGAUUUAUUGGAAAGAAUUAAACGCAACUCUGAAGAUUGGGAUUCCGACGAAGGUAAGGAGUCAGGUAUAACACCUAAGUUUGAUUGUGUUAAAUCUUUUAUGGAUACCGAUGCUUUUCGUGGAUUUAGCACUAAAUAUGGACUUGACUCUGAGAUAGUAGCUUCUUUCUAUGAAUCAUUUGCUACUCAUGUUGACCUCCCUAAGGAGAAGUGGUUUAAAUAUAAUCCUCCCACUGAAGUAAAAGUAGUUGCACCUAUUACAGUUGUAGAAAAGACUAUUACUUAUAAUGAUCAUAUUGUUCCUUCCACUUAUAUUGAGAAACCACCUUUUCCUGUUAGGAUAAAGGAUCAUGCUAAAGCUUCAACUAUGGUUUGUAAGAGUAAUACUAGAACAUAUACACCACCUGAGCAAAUUAAAGUUGAACUAGUAUUGCUAUGGUUAAAAAUCUCUUGGCUGAUAAUAUUGAUGGGCAUGUUAUUUAUUUCUGUGAUGCAGCUGAUAGAAUUGCUAGAUCCGAUGCUAAGAAACAUAGACAUGUUGUAGGCAUGCAUGUUAUUUCUGUUAAAAUAGGAGACCAUUGUUAUCAUGGCUUAUGUGAUAUGGGUGCUAGUGGAAGUGCCAUAUCCCAUUCCUUUUACAAAUAAAUUAUGCAUGAUAUUGCACCUGCUGAGAUAGAAGAAAUUGAUGUUACAAUUAAGCUUGCCAAUAGAGAUACUAUUUCGCCAAUUGGGAUUGUUAGAGAUGUUGAAGUCUUGUGUGGGAAAGUUAAAUAUCUUGCUGAUUUUCUUGUUCUUGGUUCCCCACAAGAUGAAUUUUAUCCCAUUAUAUUUGGUAGACCCUUCUUGAACAUUGUUAAUGCUAAGAUUGAUUGCGAAAAGGAUGUUGUUACUAUUGGUUUGGGGGAUAUGUCUCAUGAGUUUAAUUUUGCUAAAUCUCGUAGACAACCCCAUGAUAAAGAAUUGCCUAGUAAGGAUGAAAUUAUUGGUCUUGAUUCUAUUGUCGUGCCUCCUACUGAUCCUUUAGAACAAUAUUUGCUAGACCAUGAAAAUGAUAUGUUUAUGAAUGAAAGAAGGGAAAUAGAUGAAGUAUUCUUUAAACAGGGACCUAUUUUGAAACACAACUUGCCCAUCGAUAUCUUAGGGGAUCCUCCACCACCCAAGGGUGAUCCCGUGUUUGAGCUUAAACCAUUACCUGAUACUCUUAAAUAUGCUUAUCUUGAUGAAAAGAAAGUAUAUCCUGUUAUUAUUAGUACUAACCUUUCAGAGCAGGAAGAGGAAAGAUUAUUGAAAACUCUGAAGAAGCACCGUGCUGCUAUUAGAUAUACUCUUGAUGAUCUUAAGGGCAUUAGUCUCACUUUAUGCCAACACAAAAUAAAAUUAGGAAGAUGCCAAACUAGUUAUUUAUCACCAACGACGGUUAAAUCCUAAGAUGAAAGAAGUGGUAAGAAAGGAAAUACUAAAGCUCCUUGAGGCAGGUAUAAUUUAUCAUGUUGCUGAUAGUCAGUGGGUAAGUCCUGUCCAUUGUGUCCCUAAGAAGGGAGGUAUUACUGUCGUUCCUAAUGAUAAAGAUGAAUUGAUCCUGCAAAGAAUUAUUACAGGUUAUAGGAUGGUAAUUGAUUUCCGCAAAUUAAAUAAAGCUACUAAAAGGGAUCGUUACCCUUUACCUUGUAUUGAUCAAAUGCUAGAAAAACUAUCCAAACAUACACAUUUUUGCUUUCUAGAUGGUUACUCUGGGUUCUCUCAAAUACCUGUGUCAGCAGAGGAUCAAGAAAAGACCACUUUUACUUGCCCUUUCGGUACUUUUGCUUAUAGACGUAUGCCUUUUGGUUUAUGUAGCGCACCUGCUACCUUUCAAAGAUGCAUGAUGGCUAUAUUCUCUGACUUUUGUGAAAAGAUUUGUGAGGUAUUCAUGGAUGAUUUCUCCGUUUAUGGUUCCUCUUUUGAUGAUUGUUUGAGCAACCUUGAGUGAGUUUUGCAGAGAUGCGGAGAUACUAGUCUCGUCUUGAAUUGGGAGAUGUGCCACUUUAUGGUUAAUGAAGGCAUUGUCUUGGGGCAUAAAAUUUCUGAAAGAAGUAUUGAAGUUGAUAAAGCUAAAGUUGAUGCAAUUAAAAAGAUGUCGUGUCCCAAAGACAUUAAAGGUAUAAGAAGUUUCCUUGGUCAUGCCGGUUUUUAUAGGAGGUUCUUAAGGACUUCUCAAAAAUUUCCAGUCCUCUCACUAAUCUAUUACAAAAAGAUAUUCCUUUUGUCUUCGAUGAUGAUUGUGUAGAAGCAUUUGAAAUACUUAAGAAAGCCUUGAUUUCUGCACCUAUUGUUCAACCACCUGAUUGGAAUUUACCCUUUGAAAUUAUGUGUGAUGCUACUGAAUAUGCUGUAGGUGUUGUCCAAGGACAAAGAGUUAAUAAGAAACUAAAUGUUAUCCAAUAUGCUAGUAAAACUCUAGACACUGCCCAGAGAAAUUAUGCUACUACUGAAAAAGAAUUCUUAGCAGUUGUAUUUGCUUAUGAUAAGCUUAGACCUUAUAUUGUUGAUUCUAAAGUAACUAUUCACACUAAUCAUGUUACUAUUAAAUAUCUUAUGGAAAAGAAAGAUGCUAAACCUAGACUUAUUAGAUGGGUUCUCUUGCUACAAGAAUUUGAUUUGCAUAUUAUUGAUAGAAAGGGAGCUGAGAACCCCGUUGCAGACAACCUGUCUAGGUUAGAUAAUGUUUUUGAUGACCCACUACCUAUUGAUGAUAGCGUCCCUGAUGAACAAUUAGCUGUCAUAAAUGCUUCUCGUACUGUGAUACGUCUCCAACGUAUCUACUUUUCCAAACACUUUUGCCCUUGUUUUGGACUCUAACUUGCAUGAUUUGAAAGAAACUAACCCGGACUGACGUUGUUUUCAGCAGAACUGCCAUGAUGUUGUUUUAUGUGUAGAAAACAAAAGUUCUCGGAAUGACCUGAAAAUACACGGAGGCAAGUUUUGGAAAAUAUAAAAAAUACUAGCGAAAGACUCAAGACCAGGGGGGCCACACCCUGUCCACGAGGGUGGGGGCGCGCUCACCCCCCUGGGCGCGCCCCCUGUCUCAUGGGCCCCCUGAGGCUCCACCGACCUCAACUCCAACUCCAUAUAUUCCGUUUCACGGAGAAAAAAUCAGAGAGAAAGUUUUAUCGCGUUUUAUGAUACGGAGCCGCCGCCAAGCCCUAAUCUCUCUCGGGAGGGUUGAUCUCGAGUCCGUUCGGGGCUCCGGAGAGGGGGGUUCGUCGCCGUCCUCAUCAUCAACCAUCCUCCAUCACCAAUUUCAUGAUGCUCACCGCUGUGCGUGAGUAAUUCCAUCAUAGGCUUGCUGGACGGUGAUGGGUUUGACGAGAUUUACCAUGUAAUCAAGUUAGUUUUGUUAGGGUUUGAUCCCUAGUAUCCACUAUGUUCUGAUAUUGAUGUUGCUAUGACUUUGCUAUGCUUAAUGCUUGUCACUAGGGCCCAAGUGCCAUGAUUUCAGAUCUGAACCAAUUAUGUUAUCAUGAAUAUAUGUGUGCUCUUGAUCCUAUCUUGCAAGUCUAUAGUCACCUAUUAUGUGUUAUGAUCCGACAACCCCGAAGUGACAAUAAUCGGGAUACUUCUCGGUGAUGACCGUAGUUUGAGGAGUUCAUGUAUUCACUAUGUGUUAAUGCUUUGGUCCGGUUCUAUAUUAAAAGGAGGCCUUAAUAUCCCCUAGUUUCCGCUAGGACCCCGCUGCCACGGGAGGGUAGGACAAAAGAUGUCAUGCAAGUUCUUUUCCAUAAGCACGUAUGACUAUAUUCGGAAUACAUGCCUACAUUACAUUGAUGAAUUGGAGCUAGUUCUGUGUCACCCUAUGUUAUAGCUAUUACAUGAGCAAUCGCAUCCGACAUAAUUAUCCAUCACUGAUCCAAUGCCUACGAGCUUUUCACAUCUUGUCUUUCGCUUAUUUACUUUUCCGUUGCUACUAUUACAAUUACUACAAAACUGUUAUCUUUACUUUUGCCACUGUUACCUUUAUUAUCAUACUACUUUGCUACUAAAUACUUUGUUGCAGAUACUAAGUUAUCCAGGUGUGGUUGAAUUGACAACUCAACUGCUAAUACUCAAUAAUAUUCUUUGGCUCCCCUUGUGUCGAAUCAAUAAAUUUGGGUUGAAUACUUUACCCUCGAAAGCUGUUGCGAUCCCCUACACUUGUGGGUUAUCAUACUGCUCCAUGGUAUGCUGAUUAUGCUAACUACAUUGUUGCUAAAUUUAUACCACCUAGUUUCACAUACCAGCAAAAGAAAAGUUUUUCUAUGGUUUAAAACAUUACUUUUGGGAUGACCCACACCUUUAUAAAGAAGGAGUAGAUGGUGUUAUUAGACAUUGUGUACCUGAGCAUGAACAAGAAUAGAUCCUACGCAAGUGUCACUCCGAGGCAUAUGGAGGACACCACGCUAGAGAUAGAACUGCACAUAAGGUACUGCAAUCUGGUUUUUAUUGGCCUACUCUCUUCAAAGAUGCCCAUAUGUUUGUCUUGUCUUGUGAUGAAUGUCAAAGAAUUGGUACUAUUAGUAGACGUCAAGAAAUGCCUAUGAACUAUUCUCUUGUUAUUGAACCAUUUGAUGUUUGGGGCUUUGAUUAUAUGGGACCGUUUCCUUCCUCUAAUGGGUAUACACAUAUUUUAGUUGUUGUUGAUUACGUUGCUAAGUGGGUAGAAGCUAUUCCAAUUAGUAGUGCUGAUCAUAACACCUCUAUUAAGAUGCUUAAAGAAGUUAUUUUCCAAGGUUUGGAGUCCCUGGAUACUUAAUGACUGAUGGUGGUUCACAUUUUAUUCAUGGCGCUUUUCGUAAAAUGCUUGCUAAGUAUGAUGUUAAUCAUAGAAUUGCAUCUCCAUAUCACCCACAGUCUAGUGUUCAAGUAGAAUUGAGUAAUAGAGAGGUCAAAUUAAUUUUGCAAAAGACUGUUAAUAGAUCUAGAAAGAAUUGGUCCAAGAAACUUGAUGAUGCAUUAUGGGCUUAUAGAACUGCAUAUAAGAAUCCUACGGGUAUGUCUCCGUAUAAAAUGGUUUAUGGAAAAGCAUGUCAUUUACCUCUCGAACUAGAACAUAAGGCAUAUUGGUCCAUUAAAGAGCUCAAUUAUGAUUUCAAACUUGCCGGUGACAAGAGGUUAUUUGACAUUAGUUCACUUGAUGAAUGGAGAACCCACACUACAAAAAAAUACACUUCCGUGAUGAUACGUGUUUGUCACAAGAGGUCGCGUUUUCUGUCAUGCAUGUACAUCCAUGACGAUUUUAUGACAGAAUCAAGAUAGUCAUACCUAUGCUGUCGUAGAAGUGUUCCAUGACAUACACUUGUGGGUUAUCAAGACUAAUUUUUGGCACCGUUACCGGGGAGCAUAGCUCUAUUCUUUGAGUCACUUGGGAUUUAUAUCUGUUGAUCACUAUGAGGAACUUGAAAGACGAAAGAACCAAGAUUUUUCCCUCAACUACAAGGGGAGGUAAGGAACUGCCAUCUAGCUCUGCACUAGGUUCUCCUUCUGUUAUUAGUAAGCUUGCGACACCUAAACUUGCUACUGCUAUGAAUUCUGAUAUGUCGCAUGUUAUUGAUGAUGCCACUUCUGCUAUGCAUAAUACUUAUGAUGAAACUACUUAUGUGCGUGAUACCACUUUGCCAUCAGGUGAAUUUCUUGAUGAACAACUUGCUAGGGUUAGAGAGAAUGAAAUUACUGAAGAUGUUAUUAUUGAUGAUAGUGAUGAUGAAAGUUCUCCCCCUUAUUAUGAAUUACCUGUUGUUCCUAAGGGUUAUGUUAUGGAAGAGGAAGCUGCUAGAGAUAUCUUUGCUUGUAAAGAUAGAUAUGAUCUUAAAAAGUUAUUAGCUAAAUGGAAGGAGCAAUCUCUUAAUUCUAGAAUGAAACCUGGCCCUGCUUUUGCUACUUCACCUAUCUGUGUUACUGAUAAGGAUUAUGAAUUCUCUGUUGAUCCUGAAAUCAUUACUUUAGUUGAAUCUGAUCCUUUUUAUGGCCUUGAAUCUGAAACUGUUGUGGCACAUCUUACCAAGUUGAAUGAUAUAGCCACCCUGUUUACUAAUGAUGAGAAGUCUCGCUAUUGUUAUAUCCUUAAGAUAUUUCCGUUCUCAUUAAAGGGUGAUGCUAAGACUUGGUUUAAUUCUCUCGAUCCUGGUUGUGUGUGUAGUCCCCAGGAUAUGAUUUAUUACUUCUCUGCUAAAUAUUUCCCUGCUCAUAAGAAACAAGCUGCCUUGCGGGAAAUAUAUAAUUUUGUGCAAAUCAGAGAAGAGAGUCUCCCACAAGCUUGGGGGAGGCUUCUCCGAUUACUUAAUGCUUUGCCUGAUCAUCCUCUUAAGAAAAAUGAAAUACUUGAUAUGUUUUAUAAUGGACUAACCGAUGCUUCCAAGGGCUACUUGGAUAGUUGUGCUGGUUGUGUUUUCACGGAAAGAACAGUCGACGAAGUUGAAUUACUAUCGAAUAAUAUGUUGACUAAUGAAAAUAAUUGGACUCUCCCUAAGCCAAUUCCCGAGGCAAUUCCUGAACCAAUUGAGCCAACUCCUGACCCUAUUCCUAAACCAACUCCUAAUAAGAGAGGUGUUCUAUUUCUCAGUCCUGAAGAUAUGCAAGAGGCAAAGAAAUCAAUGAAAGAAAAAGGUAUAAAAGCUGAAGAUGUGAAAAAUUUACCACCUAUUAAGGAAAUACAUGGUCUUAAUAUACCACCUGUCGAAGAACCACAUUGUCUUGAUAACCCGACACAGGUAGUAAAGGUAAAUUCUCUCUAUAGAUAUGAUAAAGUUGAAAUCCCCUCUACUAAAUUUCAUAGCCCAUGCUUAGAUGAAUUUAAUGACUUUAUGGCUAGACAAGAAAGUUUUAAUGCUUAUGUUGGUAGAGAAUUAAAGAACAAUGCUUUCGAGAUAGGAUGCUUGAGUGAUUAUAUGGCUAGAGUUAAAGGUGAACUUAAACUCAUUAGCAAAUAUUCUUCUAUGGUUGCUACUCAAGGUGAGCAAGUACUUAAAGCUCAAAAUGAUUUGCUUGAUGAAUUAAAUAAUACGCCUGACUUUGCUAUUAGAGUGGCUACUAGAACUGGUAGAAUGACUCACGAACCUUUGUAUCCUGAAGGCCACCCUAAGAGAAUUGAGCAAGAUUCUCAGAGAAAUAAUUUAGAGGCACCUAGUUCUUCUAAAAAGAAGAAAAAGAAAAACGAUAGGACUUUGCAUGCUUCUAGUGAACCCGUUGUAGACACACCUGAGAAUCCUGAUGAUAUUUCUAUUUCUGAUGCUGAAACACAAUCAGGUAAUGAACAUGAACCUAGUGAUAAUGUUAAUGAUAAUGUUCAUGUUGAUGCUCAACCUAGCAAAAAUAAUGAAGUAGAAGUUGAACCUGUUGUUGAUCUUGAUAACCCACAAUCAAAGAAUCAACGUUAUGAUAAGAGAGAUUUUGGUGCUAGGAAGCACUGUAGAGAAAGAGAACCAUGGGUUCAUAAACCCAUGCCCUUUCCUCCUAAACCAUCCAAGACAAAGGAUGAUGAGGAUUUUGAGCGCUUUGCUGAAAUGAUUAGACCUAUCUUCUUACGUAUGCGCUUAACUGAUAUGCUUAAAGUAAAUCCUUAUGCUAAGUAUAUGAAGGAUAUCAUUACAAACAAAAGAAAGAUACCGGAAGCUGAAAUUUCCACCAUGCUUGCUAAUUACACUUUUAAGGGUGGAAUACCAAAGAAACUUGGAGAUCCGGGGGAUACCAACUAUACCAUGCUCCAUUAAAAUAAAUUAUGUUAGAACUGCUUUAUGUGAUCUUGGAGCCGGUGUUAGUGUUAUGUCUCUCCAUUUAUAUCGUAGACUUGAAUUGAGCAAGUUGACACCUACUGAAAUAUCUUUGCAAAUGGCUGAUAAAUCAACUGCCAUACCUGUCGGUAUUUGUGAGGAUGUGCCUGUUGUGGUUGCAAAUGUCACUAUCUUAACGAACUUUGUUAUUCUUGAUAUUCCCGAGGACGAUAGUAUGUCGAUUAUCCUUGGUAGACCCUUUUUGAAUACUGCAGGGGCUGUUAUUGAUUGCAACAAAGGCAAUGUCACUUUUCAUGUUAAUGGUAAUGAGCAUAUGGUACACUUUCCGAGGAAACAAUCUCAAGUUCAUAGCUUCAAUUCUAUUGGAAAAGUGCCAACUAUCAUUAUUGGAGGUUUUGAAUUUCCUCUCCCCACUGUCAAGAAAAAGUAUGAUAUUCUUAUUGUUGGGGAUGUUCAUAUCCCCGUUGAGGUAACUUAGUGUUAUUUGAAAUUUCUCCGGUUCCGUGUUAUUCAGAAUGAGUUUGUUAACAAGACUUGAUCAGCCUUGUUAGGGGAUUCAUUUUGAUGAUCAUGAGAUGGAUGAAACUAGAAGGCACAACCUUCUGUACCCUCUUUUAACUUUCUGUUAUUUAGAAUAAAUAAAGAAAAAAUAGUAUUAUCCAUCUGUUCUCUGAAUUAUCCAUGCAAUAAAAAAAUAUCCCAAAAAUAAAAGUGCUCCAAAUGCCCUGCAAAUUUAGUAUGAUUUUUUGUGGAAUAUUUGAGGAUUUUUGGUACUGAAAACACUACAGGAGGGGCAAGCACCUGGCCAUGAGGGUGGAGGGCGUGCCCACACCCCGUGGGCGCGCCCCUUGUCUCGUGGGCCCCUGGUGCCCCCCUCCACUUAUGCCAGCACCCACACACUCCUUAUUCCCAAAAAAAUCCCCAUCCAGCUCAAGCACGAGUUCGAGCUCAUUUUGCUGCGAUUUUCGAUCUCCUUGCUCAAAGCUCCAUUCACAAAACUGCUUUGGGAGAUUGUUGCUUGGUAUGUGACUCCUCCAUUGGUCCAAUUAGUUUUUGCCCUAGUGCUUUAUUCAUUGCAAAUUUUUACUACAUAGGUGACCCUGUUCUUGAGCUUGCAUGUCAAAUUUAUGAGGUCCCAAGUAAUUCUAAUGCAUGAUAUAGGCUCUAGGCAUUUGUAGGAGUAGUUGCUACCAAUCUUGUUUAGUUUUAUUCACUUUUAUUUUGAAGUUACUAAAAUUUCAGAAAUUUUUAGAAAAUGUUAAGGAGAUUUUUGAGGGGCUCUUAUAGCCAAGGCUCCCAGGAAAAACAAGCUAAAGAGAAGGAAAAGGCCAAGUAUAAUCUUCCUCACAUAGUGGAAGUACGGUCGUGUGAAUGGCCAUGCGAUAAUUUCUUGCGAGAAGCUGGAAUUUAUGAAGACUUUUAUUCUUUGAUCGAGAAUGCAGGCCUCACCGAUUUCCUCCACGACCGGAUCGAUCAGUAUCUCUUACUAACCAAUACUUUUGUGCAAAAAUUUUAUUAUUAUCCUGAGAAGUCACCGCCUUCAGUAUCAUUUCAUUUAUAUGAUGAAUUCAGGGAAAUGUCUUUACAUGAUUUUUGCACGGUAUGUAGGAUACCCUUUGAGGGAAAAUUAGAGGAACCACAUCGUAAAGAUGUGGAUGGCUUUGUUAACACUAUCACUGUAGGGGAUCCAAAGAAGGGUUCAGAUGCGAGAAUCUCUAGCAUACACUUUCCUGUUUUACGCUACUUUGCCAUAUUUGCUAGUAGAUGCUUGAUUGGUCGUGGAAAUAGUGGAAACUUCAAUGUUCCUUAUAUUAUCAUUCUUCACCAUGCCUUGUUUGGAGAUAAUAGUUUUAGUAUGGGUGUCAUUAUUGCUAAACGGCUAAGCCUGAAUCGUACAAAAGGCCCCAUCUUUGGAGGUAUCUAUGAUGCACGUCUUGCUAGACAUUUUGAGAUACCUAUUAGGCACCAUGAGAAAGAGGAGACAAAAUUGCCUCCUUACAUUUUAGAUUACAAGAGUAUGGUAGCACAUGAGUUCAUUGUUGACAACGAAGAUAAUAUGCUCUUGUAUAACGUGAGAUUUAAUAAGAAACACAAUGAGACUAUUAUUUUGCCCGCGCCUCUGUUGUUUGAUUUGAUUGCAGAUAAUUUUCUUGUCACGCCGGAAGUAGUGUAUGCUCAUCGAGGCCAACCAUUCACUCCAGAACCUGAGCCUGAGCCGAAACCUGCACUGGACCCUUAUCGAGCAUCAUCUUACCAGUGGGAUCCGGAAGAGACAGCCAGCCAGUGGUAUCCUGAUUAUACCCCUCAGUACACCGGGGAGAGUAGCCGCGGUCCGUGGCAAUAGACCAACUUAGGCCAAAAGCCUAAGCUUGGGGGAGUACGUAUUUCUCACCGACUUUACAUUCAUGUUCACACACUAUUCUAGUCGUCGGUGCUCAUACUCUUUCAUAGUAUUAUCCAUGCUAGUUUAAUUUUCUUUUUCUAGCUUUCUUCUUGUGUGUUUGAUAAACCUUAAGAAAACCAAAAAAAAAUAGUUAGUUUAAUUUCCAUGCUUGU
rnacentral:lncRNA from 1 species